UUUUUUUUCUUCUGAGGCUGAGGAAUAAACGAGAAAGUCGUCCUUAGGGUUUUCUUUUUUGUUUUUGGUUUUGUUUUUGGGUUUUUUAAUUUUAAUUUAAAUGUUAUUUUGUUUGAUUUUUUUCCUAAGACUAAUAAAACUAAAUUGGGUUUUUGGUCAUUUAACACAAAAUUUGUGUUAGUCUAGUAAACUAUAAAACUAGGGUGUCAAUCUAGUUAUUAAUCUCCAGAUUUGAGUCAAUCUGGGUAAAUUUCAGUUAAAGUUAUGGGAUUAUUUUGUAAGAAAACAUAAUGCGUAAAAAGGGUAAAUGGUUUGUCUUCAGAGUUCUUAGAUUGCGUAUAAAAUCCAUGAACUUGAUCAGAGAUUAGAUAAUUAUUUGAGUGAAACUUGUAAGUGCACUAAACAAAUUUUCUAAUAAAGAAGUUUUAUUUUUUAGGAACCGUCAUCUCAGUUUAUGACUUAGUUUACAUAUAUAUAUAUAUAUAUAUCUGGAAAAAUGUCAAAAAAUGCGUCAACUUUCAAAUUUGGGACGAUUAAAGCAUGAACUCUCAAAAUGUCACUUUAAUCACAUAGUUUUUGUUGACUUUUCCAUAAAUAGCUAAGUUUUUGUUGACCUGACCAAAUUAGACAUCGCAUUAAGUCUCUGUUAGAACGAUGUUGACGCUGUUAACUUAACCGUUUAACUAAACGAUGACAUUUUCUUCAGAGACUGAAUUGUCUCUACUUCUGAUAGGCUCUUCUCUGAUGGUAUCAACACCGCUUCAAUCUCCGAUGGUAUCGACACUUCAUCACUCUCCGAUGGGUUUUGAAUUGUCUCCGAUUCUUCUGGAAUCUCAAUCGUCUCAGGUUCUCGAUCGUUUGCUUUGCAUUCUUCCUCUACCAAAGCCAGCAGCCUCCGCGACCGACGAGAAUUCCAAUUUCCUUCAUGCGUCUUCACUAUCGGGAUCAAUAAGUAAGACGACGAGAGAAUUUGAGUUUUUUUUUUUUUUUUUCUAGGGUUAGGGAUCGAUUUGGGAAUGAAAUCGAUUUGGGGGUUUUGACAUUCUUCUAUGACUAAAACAACGACGUUUUCGUUUUAGAAAAACGUCGUCGUUUUGGUUAAACGGUGACUGUAAACGGCAAUUUAACAGCGUCAGCGUCGUUCUAACCGGGACUUAACGCGAUGCCUAAUUUGGCCAUGUCAACGAAAACUUUGCUAUUUAUAGGAGAGUCAACAGAAAUUUUGUGAUGAAAGUGACAUUUUGAGAGUUCAUGCUUUAAUCAUCCCAAAUUUGAAAGUUGGCGCAUUUUUCGACAUUUUUCCCUAUAUAUAUUGAUAGCUCUUGGAUUUUUAAAAUCAAAAACAGGCACCGUCAAACCUUCCAUCGGAGACAGUAUCGAAAGUCGGAGGAUCAUACCACAAUUUCUAUUUUUACUUUUUAAUAUGUAUUUUUACCACAAUAAUUUUUUUAAAACUUAGUUUAUUUUAUUUUUAUUUCCUCUUUUGUUGACGAUUCUUUACUCCGACAGCAUAUAUGUUUCGAUUUCUAAGCGGUUUCUUUACUCUUCUUUCGUAAUUAUUAAAAAUGUAAAUAUCAUUUAAAUUUUUCUAUUGAAAAAAACUUCAGCAGAAAUAUUAUUAUCGAAUACAUAUAGUCGAUUAGAUUAUUCAGUCUUAAUCAAACAAUGACAUUUGCUUUGAAUACAUUUACCGUAGUAUACACCACUUGUAAGAACACAACAUAUAUCACAUUCGCCGUCCCCUCCCUUACACAGAUCUGGACUGUAGCAUUGUUUCUUCUUUAUUCCUAAACCUAUUGAACAAUAUAUAAUCAUUAAACCAACAUUAACAAAAAACAAUCACUAAACUAAUAUUUACACAUAUAAAAACAUAAGAAUAUGUGCAUAAUGUUGUAAACAAAAUGAAAAGGAGUACCAAGACCAAGAGUGCUAUCAGAGCAAUGAACAGAAGAUAUGACAAAGAGGAUAGUAAGGACAAAUACGAUCAACAUUUUCUUGCUAGUAGUCAUUUUAUAUGAUUUUGUCUUAAUUUUAUUUUUGAUGUUUUAUGUUUUGGUUCAAAUGGGUUUAAAUAUAAAAUAACACAAACAUAAGUAAAAGGUAUUUUUGAAAUCAAAAUGAAAAAGCAAAAAAAUAUUUCACUUUAGCUUCUUAUAUUAUAAUAAGAAGAAAAUAUAUAAGGUGAAUUUCUUACCUAAAUAUAUAUAUUUGAACAUUAGUGUAAUAAUAUUUAAGACUAAAUGUGAUUUGUUCAUUCUUAUUAUAUUCAUUACUAAAUGUGAUAUUGCAUCAAUGAAAUAUAUAUAUAUAUAUAUAUAUCUAUAUAUUAUAGGAUUUGCUAUUAUAUAUAAAAGAUAGAAUAUCAUUUGCUAUUAAAAAAAAAGAGAUUAUUAAAAAAGCUUUAGUUAUUCUCUACUAAACCUUAAAAGAAAAUGAUGAUUAUUACUAUUUUUUAAAAUGAUAUAUUUCUAUAAGAAAAUUAUACAAUUGAUUACUAAUUUUUAAAAAAUAUAUAUAUAAUUUUCUUCUAGAAAUAUAUCAUUUUUAAAAUUAGUAGUAAUAAUUAUUUCUUUUCAGGUUUAGUAGAGAAUAAAACUAAAGUCUUUUUUUAGGUAAAAUGUUUUUUUUUUAUCGGAGCAUAUACAUAUAUAGAUUAAAACAUAUUCUUAUAUUUUACUCUAUCGUUUAUAUGUUUUUUCCUUUUAUUUGUACACAUAACAAAAUCUCUAAUUGAUAGAUUUGAUACGUCUCACAAUCAUGUUAAUUAAUUACUAAUUUUGUGCGUCUAAUUAUUUAACAAAAACAGAAUUAUUUGAGUGUAACCCAUCCCAAUCCUAAUUAGUUGAGUGUUAAAUGAAUCAUGAACUACAUUGAUUGGGUUAAUCCAUUAAUCCAUCAAAUUUAAAUUAUCAGUUUAACCCAUAAAUUAUCUCUUUUUGUUUAGUUUUUAGUUAUGCAAAUGUAAAAGCGGAUGAUUUCGCACGGAGCAAUACUUGGGUUCAUCUCUAGGUGUGAAUUCUUUUAUUCACCCUCUUUUAUUUUAACCAAUAAGAAUUCGCCACAUAAUAAAAAAAUUAAACUCAUUUAAUUAUUAAAUCUAAUCCAUAACCACUUUUUUUAUAAACCCAAACCGAUAUAUAAUCUCGUUUAAUUACAAAAUCUAAACCAUAAUUCUCCUUUUUAAACCCAAACCGCCAUUUAAACUCGUUUAAUCGUAAAAAAUCUAAACCCUAAUCGUACUUUCUAAACCUAAACCGACAUUUAACCUUGUUUAAUUGGAAAAUCUAAAUCUGUUUAUAAACUCAAAUCGAUAUUUAACCUCGUUUAAUCAUAAAAUCUAAACCCUAAUCGUACUUUCUAAACUCAAACCGACAUUUAACCUCGUUUAAUUGUAAAAUCUAAAUCCGUUUAUAAACCCAAACCGAUUUUUAACCUCGUUUAAUCAUAAAAUCUAAACCCUAACCCUUUCUAAUAAACCCAAACCGAUACAUAAUUUCGUUUUAGUGGUAAACUAGAUUUUAUAAUUAAAAGAAUUUUAUUAUUAUGUGGCAGAUUCUGAUUUGUUGAAAUAAAGGGGGUGAACCCAAGUAUUUUUCUUUGGCACGAAGAGUUCGUACCGAACCGUAUCAUAUCACUUAUGUAAACAACAUUCUUCAUGAAUGGAACCUUUCAAUAGAUUCAAUUGUAGAUGUUGACAAAAAAAGGUUUAACCAAUAAAUCUAUUUAAUUUCAUAUAUCAAAUGGUUAAGAGUUCGACCUAUGAACACAUAAAUUAAUCUAUUUUUUUGUCAACGAACAAAUAAACCAACUUUUAAUAAAUUUAUCAUCAUAUUUAGUAAUAAAUAAUUGAUUUUCGGAAAUUCAAGAACUUAAAGAAUCACAUUAUUUGUGAAAAUUUUCUAAUAUUGAAUUGUUAGUGAAAAAUAGGUAUAUCAUUUUAAAAGAAAAAAAGUUAAAACAAUAUAAUUGGUUAACCUUACAUCACCCAUUUGGCAUGUGUAUAAUAACCUUCUUCCUGAAUUCGUGUUUGUCUGAGAUGUUUGAAUCAUUGCUACUCCACCACAGAAACAACGUCUAGAGAUCUCAUAGUCACUGUUAGACUGUGUUAGUUCGUCCUCUCUUAAAGUCUGUCUCUAGGAGAAGGAACUUUGAGACAUCAUCACUAUCAUCAAAUAAAGAAGGGGAGGGACACCAAUAUAAGUUAAUGAGGUCACAAAUUCUAUAUAAUUUUGAAUUGAUAAAGAAAUCACGUACAAAAACAAACUCGAUGAAAUUUAUCUUUCUCAACAAUCCAAAUCUCAAACAUAGACAAAAUCAAUGUAAUUCAACCAGGGAUGGCUCUACCCAUGUGCGGGUGCUCAUGCACAAGGUCCAUCUAAUUUUGUCUUUUUUAAAACUAAAUUUAUUAAAAUUAGGGUCCAAAUUUUUUUUAUAUAUAAAAAUACAUAGGAAAUUAGGUCCAAUUAUUUUUUCCAGCUCAGGGUCUUUAAUUUUUUUGAGCCGGCCUUGAAUUCAACUACAUGAACUUUCAAUCUUAAACAGGAAAUCGACAAAACACUUACCAAAUGAGCUUGUUCAGGAGACAAAAAAGAGCUUCAAUUUAGUUAUGUUCUCGACAGAGAUGUUGAUAAAAGAGAAAGACAAUCCUAUACGCUGCAUUUUAGCUAGCUUUUGUAACCAAGAUCACGAGGGUUAACUAAUAUAAAGCCUGAUUUUCACCGAGGGUUAUAUUGUAUGUGAUUUUUGAAUUAACGAUAAUGACCUGCACUUGUUUUACAUGGAAAGUAAAGUUUUUAAAAUUUGCGAUUUUGAGUUUUUUUUCAGAAAACCCUAUAUAUAUUAAAAAAAAAAAAAAAGGUUUGAUUGCUUCUAAACGAGAAAGAGGUUUUGUGUAUUUCUAAUUGUCUCUCUGCUGUGAGAAGAGAAAAGAAGAAGGAAGAUGAUGUCCGGUGGGGGCUACUCGAACAUCGAUCACCAGAAAGUUUCUGGAUCUGUACCCGUAAGCUCUUUGCACUUGUCCAUUGGAUUGUAUCCUCGAUUCAUUCUCCUUUGUUAUCUCAAUCUGAUCAGAUCUAGUUUCCAUGAUCCAUCGUAGGCCGUUCCAGAUCCUGGCCAUGUCACCGUCAAAUUCGCUGGUAAACAAUUUCGUUGGAUAAUUUUUAGUUUGAAUCGACGAAGUAGGAAGAGCUUAGAGGCAUUUUUGUUUAGUGUGAAAUUAUUAUGUUAUUGUGAGAUUUUUCUGGAAUCUAGUCUUUUUAAGGUUUAUAAGAUUUGAAUAAAGAUAAGAUUUAGCAAUUGUGUGUGUAUAUUGUUCUGUGAUUUGAUUGAGAGGGAUACAUUGUAAAUGCAGACUCAAAUCUACAAACGUUUCCUCCAUCUGCUACUCAGGGAAAGAUUUCUGGUGGUACUAAUCCUCCUCGAGAUGUUGACGGUAAUUUAUCCUUUAGAUUUGCUUAAGAUUCUAUGGAGUUUUGCUAGAAUCCUCCAAGUUAGUUGAGGAGAAAUGUAUGAUGUGCAGAAGACUUGUUAAUCAACUUCUUUAUGUUGAUUGACUGAGUUUUUUAUGUCUUAGCUUAUUUUAUAAACUUUCAACCGCUGCAGAUACAUUUUCGAGGCCCGUGAAUGGUACAGAUGAACCUCAGUCUGGUGGUUGGCUCCAUAGAUUCACUGUUGGUGCUUACAAGCCUUACUUUGAUGUGGACACCUCAGAUGUUGUAGAGAGACUCAAAGAAUCACUCUUUCCGUUCAGAGGAACAUUUACAGAAAAGACAGCCAACAACCCUGAUUUGUAAGAGUCUCGUCUUUACAGUUUUUUUUUUUUUGCAAGGUGGAGAUAAGUGGACUGAUUGAGAAAGAAUUUGCUGUGUGUAUUACAGAUACGGGCCAUUCUGGAUAUGCACAACAUUGAUCUUUGUAGCAGCAUCCAUAGGAACAUUUGUUACAUACAUAGCACACAAAUUGAAGAAACAGGAAUGGAACUACGACAUUAAUCUGGUGACUUGGUCUGCAGGAGUAUUCUACGGUUAUGUAACUAUUGUCCCUCUCGCAUUAUACGUGGUUCUAAAGUACUUCUCUGCACCAUCAGGCUUAGUCCAACUCUUCUGUCUCUACGGAUAUUCCCUAUUCGUCUUCAUCCCUGCAUUGGUAAGUUAGUUUACAAAUUCCUCUAUUACUCCCAAAAUAAGACAUCCAAUGUGAAAAACCCGAGACUAAGAAAAUGCUGUUUCUGCAGUGUCUAUCCGUUGUGCCACUAGAGAUCUUCAGAUGGGUGAUCGCGGGUUUAGCUGGAUUCAUGUCUGCAACAUUUGUAGCAUUGAACCUCAAAGCACAUAUUAACUCUGCAGGAGAGAGAUGGUUCUUGAUUGUGGUCAGCAUUUUUCUUCUACAGCUCGCUCUUUCAGUCGUGCUGAAGCUAUAUCUGUUCACUGUCACCGUAUAAAUUAUUCCCUCAGGGGGAAGAAGCUAUGAUUUAAAUCUGAAUCCGUAUAGAGCGUGAAAGCAAAGAGUUUUUAUACCUUGAAGACUUUUCAGAUUUUUGUAAAAUUAGGGACUGAAUCUGUUGCAUGAUUCUUUCAUUUGUUAUUAUCAACAUGAAUAUUAUGAUUAUACUUAAUAAUGUAGUGUAAACUCAAGUUUCAUAAUUUGCUAAAAGUUUGGUGAAAUUGAUUCAAAAAUUUAGCACAUUUUCUUUGUUGUACUUAGAUUACGUCUUCCAUUUUUCAUUGAAGCAAAAGUUAACAAGAACAAUGAUUCGCCAAAGAAAAGGAAAAACUACUACAAGAAAUCAGAUGAUAAAUAAAAGGUCCUGGUAAAAUAACAGGAGUCCAAAAAAGAUUCCACAAAAUAAAGAAAAUUUCUCGAUGUGUUUCAUCAAUUUCAAGAAAACAGAAGAGUCGUUAAUCAUAAUAUAUCAAUCAAGCUUUCGAUUUCUUCCCUUUGGUAUCAGCAACUACGGGCUUGGCCUUGAAAGGCAAAAACGUCUCUCCACCCAUAAACGGCUGCAGAACCUCAGGGAUGUCCACACCAUCCUCUCGCUGGUAGUUCUCGAGAAUGCAGCAAAUGGUCCUCUCUGUUGCAGUAAGUGUCGAAUUCAGCAUAUGCACAUACUGCUUUGUCUGCUCAUUGCUCUUUUUCUGACCGUAUCUGAUCUCAAGUCUUCGAGCCUGGUAGUCUGUGCAGUUGGAACAGGACACAAGCUCUCUGAAUGUCUCCGACGAAGGAAACCAAGCUUCCAAGUCAUACUUUUUCGCAGCUGCAUCGUUCAAUGCUCCAGAGACUAUUGACACAAUUUGGUAUGGAAGCUUUAGCUGCAGAGAAAUCACACAGUUGACUACUUAGAAACUAUCAAAAGAUAUAAGGUUUCUUAACUUAAGAUAUCAAAAUUACCGCUUGGUAAAAAUCUUCCGAGUUCUUCAUCAUCUCAUCAAGCAUUUCCCACGAGGCAUUCUCAUUAGGACCGGUGAUGCAAAACUGUUCAAUUUUCUCAAACUGGUGAACACGGAAAAUACCAAGUGUGUCUCUUCCAUGCGAACCAGCUUCUUUUCUAAAGCAGGACGAGUAACCAGCAUAUCUGGACCAAAAAUAUAAUGUUGGCGGAUAUUCCCAAUACAUGAAAGAAACAAUUGGCUUAAAGCUGCGAGUAGGUUUUACUAUGUUUGCUUAUACCUUAGGGGAAGCUCAGUCGGAUGAAUCCAUUCAUCAAGAUGGUAUGCACAAAGAGGCUGCUCAGCAGUUGCAAUAAGGUAUUUGUCAUCUCCUUCACCAGUCACCUGGACAAAAAACCAAUCUUCUUUGAAUAAAACUCUAACAACAUAAUUAUACAAAUGUAUUGUAAUGAUUAAAGACCUUGUAAAGCUCUUCAUCGAACUGUGCCAAUUGUGCGCACUUGGCCAUAACAUCCUUCCUCAUGAAAAAAGGAGGCUGCAAUCCUGUGAAUCCUCUCUUUUUCAAGAAAGUUAGCCCAAAGUUGAUAAGAGCUUGGUUAAGCAUCAAACCAUCUCCUUUUAAGAAAAAGCCUCUGGCUCCAGCGAUUUCAGCACCUGAGGCCAAAAUUAGCAUUACAAUGAAACCCAAAACCACAAAAACCCACUAUCACAGAAUGAGGAGGUCGCCAAAGUGUAAGUCAAUGCUACCUCUUUUGGUAUCUGCAAUACCGAGAAGCUCAACGAGAUCCACAUGAUUUUUCAGCUUCAGACCAGGCGUAGAAAACCGCUUUUCACCCCACAGUUUAAUCACAAGAUUAUUAGCCUGCAUACGAAAAACACCAUAAACUUCUAAAUCUCUCUCAAGUCUCACCACCAAGCAGACAAACUUUGAAGGAACGAAAUGCCACUAACCUCGUCCUUAUCAAUAGGAACCGAGUCAUGAAUCAAGUUACCAACUGUCUCCAACUUGGCUUUCAAAGCAGCAUAAGCUUCACGAACUUCCGCCUCCUUUGCGGUAGAAUCUUGUUUGUUUUUCUCGGUCUGUUGAAUAAUCUCAGUCGCAUCUUCUUUUUUCUAUUCCAAAGAAACCAAAAACAAAACUUUACUUUUACUAACUUCCAUCAAUUUCAUUCAAAAACAGCUAAAAUCAUUCCCCAACUAUGGCAUUCACACUAAUACGACAACAGAUAUCAAAUGCUCAAAUUCCAGAUCCUAAGAAGAACCACUACGGAUCUAAGAGAAGUUUCCAGUAAGAUUUGAGAUAAAACUAACAAUUUUGAGCUGCGCCACUUGCUUAUUGAGCUUGUUGAACUCUUUCCUGAAACUAUCAACUUCAAAUUGACCUGAAACAGAAUAAAAUUUGAUAGCAUCAAAGCUCAAAUUCGUUAGGAGAGAAACGAUGAGAGCGAGCAAAUGGAUCGAUCGUGGAGACUUACGCUGACGCCAUUCUUUGUCGAGUUUAAUGAUCUCAUCAACGACUUCAACGCUGGCAAAUCUCCGGCGUUGCGAUUCUCUGAUAAUCUCCGGAUUGUUCCCUUUUUCUUCACGAAAUAGAUUGAUAUCCAACAUUUUCGGGCUCUUUCUCUGUGAAUCAAAAGCAGAAACAGAAAUUUGAAUCCGUCAAAACUCGAGAUUGAGAUUACUGGAGCAAAAAAGAAAUGGAGAAACAACGUAUCAUCAGAUUUCGAAGAGAGUCGUACUUGAAACUGUGGAGACGAAGAUGAGACUUAUCAGCGGCGUCGAUUUGACCUUUGCGAGGAAGAUGAUGGAGCUUAGGGUUUUUGCGUUCUCUGUGAUAUGAUUUUUUAUUAGUUAUGAUAUAUUGGAAAAAUAUACCCUAUUUGUUUUCUAAUUCACGAUAAGUUCCCAAAAGUUUUAGAUUUGUUACAGAAACUCCUCACUCAUUUUAUAAUAACAUCAUCUAAUUAUAUAAUUAACACAUCAUGUUUCUCAUGUGAAUCUAACACAUAUCACAACUCAGCUAACAUUACUUUGAAUUAAAAUGAUAAACAAAUUUUUUUAGUAACAUCUUGUGAGAUUUAUGAUUGUAAGAACGAAAAUAAAAUAAAAACAUACUACCUCAAAUUGGAGGUUUUGAAAUUUGGAGAUUGUUUUCGGAAUACAUAAAACCUCAAAAAUAAGGGUUUGAGGUUUUUUUUGUUUGUGUCUAAAGAUUUUGUUGAUUAAACAUGGAAGAACACAAAACUACUAAACUAGUAUGAGUCUAAAUCCUUAUAGAGACAAAAUGCAACGAGUUCUAAAAGUUCCUAAAAAGAACUAUCCAAACCGGAUAGACCCAAACUCUUUAAGAGUUUCGACGAGCAUGUGGAAAUAGAUAAUUCAAUCAAAUUAGAGGAGCGAAUUUAUCCCAAACAAAUAUAAUUUUAACAAAAUCUCCAAAAAGUAAAAAUCCCAAAUUUUCUUACUGAAACCAAAGUUUUUAAUUUUCCGAACAAUGUAUGACUCUGAACAUUUUUUUUAUAUAUUAUUACUAAAUUUGAUGAUUAAAUUAUUAAUAAUUAAUUUCAUGUAUUCAUGGAUUGAUUUAACUAGUUCAUCCAUAAGAUUAACAAAAUGUAUUUAUAGAUUGAUCCGUUUCAUUUAAAAUUUUGAGUGGAUUCAAGGGUUACUACUUAGCCUAAUCUAUUUAGCCCAUUUAAAUAUCUGAUGGAUGAUUUUCUAGGGUUUAUUUCAAUCUCUCUGGAAUAAAAUUUGGUUUCUUGUAGACCACUACAACUUUUUAUGGGGUUUUUAAUGGUUCCUGGGAAAGCAAAACCAUGUUUUUCCAGUGAACUUUAGAAAGCUUGUAAAACAUGGUCUCCUCGUUUAUGUUUCCUAUUUAGGGUUUUCAUCUCUAUGUGUUGACAGCAAAAUAAUCAUUGGAUUAAAAGCUUGGAGAGCACUCUAUAUGGACCGUAUCAGUUUGUUGCCCGACACUUUCAUUGUUUUCAUCAAAAGAUGUCUUCAAAACAAGUGUUUUGUCAAAACGAUGGCCAUAUCAUUGGAAGUUAAUUAGUGCCUUAAAUUCGAGUACAUCGACAAUAAAUUAAGUUAAAAUUUUAUUGAAAACCAAAUACAAGAAGUGUUUUUUAACAAAUAAACAAAUGGAAACUAAAUUAAAGAAAAUCUGCAUUUUAUCAUUUGCGGGACUUGUGGAACAAGACUUCAUCUUUUGAAAGGCAUAAACUUCUUGCCGCCCAUAUAAGGCUGCAGAACGUCAGGAAUAUCAACACCAUCCUCUCGCUGGUAGUUCUCAAGAAUGCAGCAAAUUGUCCUCUCUGUUGCGGUAAGAGUCGAAUUCAACAUAUGAACAUACUGCUUCGUCUGAUCUUUGCUCUUAUUCUGACCAUAUCUAAUAUCAAGCCUUCGAGACUGAUAGUCUGUACAGUUGGAACAGGACACAAGCUCUCUGUAAGUCUCUGAAGCAGGAAACCAUCCUUCCAGGUCAUACUUUUUAGCCGCUGCAUCGUUCAAAGCUCCAGAGACAACCGAAACGACUCGGUAUGGAAUUUUAAGCUGCAGAGGCAUUAAUCAUUAUUAACAAUUAGAAAACUUUUGAAAAACUUUUCCUAAGGUAUUCUUAACUUAAAAUUACAUACCGCUUGGUAAAAUUCUUCCGAGUUCUUUAACAUCUCUUCGAGCAUUGCCCACGAAUCAUUAGGAGCCGUGAUGCAAAACUGUUCAACUUUCUCAAACUGGUGAACACGGAAAAUGCCAAGUGUAUCUCUUCCAUGAGAACCAGCUUCUUUUCUAAAACAGGUCGAGUAACCAGCAUAUCUUUUGGGAAGCUCGGACGGAUGGAUCGUUUGAUUACGAUGGUAUGCACAAAGAGGUUGCUCAGCAGUUGCAAUAAGAAACUUGUCAUCUCCUUCACCAGUCACCUGAUCAACAAAAACAAGAAUCAAACCUCAAAAACUAGUCUUAACAACAUAAUUAAGCAAAUUCUUUUUGUAACGAUUAAAGACCUUGUAAAGCUCUUCAUCAAACUGAGCCAAUUGUGCGCAUUUGGCCAUAACAUCCUUCCUCAUGAAAAACGGAGGUUGUAAAGGCGUAAAUCCUCUAUCUUCCAAAGAGUCUAGCGCAAAGUUGAUAAGAGCUUGGUUAAGCCUCACACCAAAUCCUUUUAAGAAAUAACCUCUCCCUCCAGCAAUAUCAGCACCUGAGACCAAAUUAGCAUUGUUACACGGAUUUGAGAAGGUGGUGACUUAAGUUUUAGUCAAUCAAUGUUUAAUUACCUCUUUUGGUAUCUGCAAUACCGAGAAGCUCAACGAGAUCCACAUGGUUUUUCAGCUUCAGAUCAGGUGUAGAAAACCGCUUUUCACCGAACAGUUUAAUCACAAGAUUAUUUGCCUGUAGCAUAUAUGAAAAAAACUUGUAUAAAUAUCUCACUCUUUUAAUUUCUGUCACCACAAUGCCGACAAAAAAGACACAACAACAUGACUAUUACCUCGUCCUUAUCAAAUGGAACCGAGUCAUGAACCAGAUUUCCAAAUGUCAACAAUUUGGCUUGCAAAGUAGCAAAAGCUUCACGAACUUCAACCUCUCUCGCGGUAGCGUCCUGUUUGUUUUUCUCUGUUUGCUGAAUAAUCUCAGUCGCAUCAGCUUUAGCCUAUUCCAGAGAUAGAAACCAAAAAAAAAAAAAAGUUACUAUAUAUUACUAAAACCUCCAACAAAUUCUUUCAAACAAAUUCCUAGAGAUGAAAACUAACAAUUUUUAGCUGAGCCACGUGUUUAUUCAGCUUGUUGAACUCGUUUCUGAAGCUAUCAACUUCAAAUUGACCUGAAAAACGUUUCAUAAAUUGCGAUAACAUCAACUUAAUGAAAGCUCAAAAUUCUUAAGGAGAGAAAUCAACGACGAUAGGGAGAUGUGAAAAUACUUACGCUGACGCCAUUCUUUGUCAACUUGAAUAAUCUCGUCAACAACAUCAACAUUGGAAAAUCUCCGGCGUUGCGAUUCUCUAAUGAUCUCUGGAUUGUUACCUUUUUCUUCACGAAAUAGAUUGAUAUCCAUAAUGUUUAAUUUCGUGCUCUUUCUUUGAUGAAUCAAAAGCAGAGAAACAAAGUUUUUAUACGUAGCUUAGUAGAUAUUCACCGAUCAGCUACACGUACAAAUUGUUCUGUUAUUGAUAUCAAGAGAACAACACAGCGUAGGGUUUUUAUAGGGUUUACUCUCAAUUCUUUCUCUUUUUUUAUAAACAAAAACAAAAUUUUCAUGUUUUAUCCAAAAGAAAAAAACGUCUGGGCUUUUUAUGUUAUUCUUCAACGGCCCAAAUCCACUAUCACCGUCUCUUCUUCGUCUUCGUUUGAGAUUUUUCGAGAAAGCCCCGAACCAGUCUCGCAGCGGCUCCAAAUGCUGAUUCGUUGCGUUGCGAAGACGAGGCUCACCACCACUGGCGUAGCAAGGCUCGUGUCUACUCUUGGAGAUUGUUCGGAUACGUCAUCACUCGCACAUCGGAAUAGCUUGAAGGAGAUUCUGAGAAAGAACGGUCCACGCCGCAGUGUUACCUCUCUGCUUCAGGAACGGAUCGAUUCGGGUCACGCCGUCGCGUUAUCGGAGCUCCGAUUCAUCUCCAAGCGUCUCAUUAGAUCUAAUCGCUACGAUCUCGCUCUCCAGGUUUGGAAAUUCUCGCUUAAUUAAAACUUUUAGAAUGAAGCUUUUUAUGGAAGUUUCAGAUUCUUUGUGUUGUGUAAAUAUACAGAUGAUCGAGUGGAUGGAGAAUCAAAAAGAGAUUCAAUUUAGUGUUUAUGACAUUUCUCUUAGAUUAGAGUUAAUCAUCAAAACUCAUGGCUUGAAACAAGCAGAGGAGUAUUUUGAGAAGCUACUAAAUAGCUCUGCCUCGUUGAGAGUAGCGAAAUCGGCUUAUCUUCCUCUUCUUCGCAGUUAUGUGAAGAAGAAAAUGGUUAAAGAAGGGGAAGUUUUUAUGGAGAAGUUGAAUGGAUUGGGGUUUCUUGUUACUCCACACCCGUUUAACGAAAUGAUGAAGCUUUAUGAAGCUAGUGGUCAGUAUGAGAAAGUUGUUAUGGUUGUUUCGAUGAUGAAAGUGAAUAAGAUACCGAGAAAUGUUCUUUCGUAUAAUCUUUGGAUGAAUGCGUGUUGUCAAGUGUCUGGUGUUACGGCUGUGGAAACGGUUUAUAGGGAAAUGGUUGGUGAUAAGAGUGUUGAAGUUGGCUGGAGUUCGUUGUGUACUUUGGCUAAUGUUUAUAUUAAGGGUGGGUUUGAUGAGAAGGCUAAGUUGGUUCUUGAGAAUGCGGAAAAGUUGUUGAAUAGAAGUAAUAGGCUUGGAUAUUUCUUCCUUAUCACGCUUUAUGCGUCUUUAGGGGAUAAGGAAGGAGUUGUUCGUUUGUGGGAAGCUUCUAAAUUGGUUUGUGGUAGGAUUAGUUGUGCGAAUUACAUAUGCGUAUUGUCGUCUUUGGUGAAAAUUGGUGAUCUUGAAGAGGCUGAAAGGGUGUUUAAUGAGUGGGAGGCUCAAUGCUUUAACUAUGAUGUUAGGGUCUCCAAUGUUCUUUUGGGUGCUUAUAUGCGUAAUGGAGAAAUCCGGAAAGCUGAGUCGUUGCACGCCCGUGUAUUGGAGAGAGGUGGUAAUCCAAACUACAAGACUUGGGAAAUCUUAAUGGAGGGGUGGGUGAAAUGUCAAAGUAUGGAGAAAGCAAUUGUUGCUAUGCACCGAGCGUUUGAACUAAUGAAGGGAUGCCAUUGGAGACCAUCGGAAAGCAUUGUCAUGGCGAUUGCCAAGUACUUUGAGGAAGAGGAGAAAAUUGAAGAAGCAAACACAUAUAUUAGAGAUUUGCAUCAUCUUGGUCUUGCUAGCUUACCGUUAUAUAGAUUGUUACUUAGAAUGCAAGAACAUGCCCAAAGACCAGCUUUUGACAUCUAUGAAAUGAUGAAGUUGGACAAAAUCGGAAUAGAUGAGUAAAAGAGGUAAUUAAACUGAAAGCAAAACUAUUUGAUGUAAUAGUAUGAAAGCUUAAGUAUAUGUUUUUACGAAAGUGAGGAAGUAAAACAGUCAUUUCAUAUUUCCCAUCAUAAAUGCAUUAAAUUCAACAAUUUCAAAAAUUAACUAAACAAUCUUUGCUUGUUUUCAAUCACUUUUCACAUGGUAAUAAAGCAAUUUUACAUUUAACACAUCAGUUAUAAGAAAAAUUGACAAAUUGGGUUCUAAUUUGCAGCCUUCUUGAAGUACACAAGUCAGCAAGUUUAAAAAUGGUGAGAGGCCAAAUAUGAUUUUCCAGUCAGGUCAAUAACUAAUCUGAGCUCCGUUACCACCAAUUGACGCCGUGAAGCACUGAAAACCGCUGGAUUCGAGCUCCUCCACCACUUUGUCCACCACCGUUCCUGAAACCAGUUUGUUUUGCAGAGGGGGAUUCAUUAAAAUUCAAGAAUCAAGAACUCAAAUUGACAGAAAGGAUGAUUGAAAAUUGCUGAAAAAGGAUACCGGUUGGUAAUAGAGUGAGGACGCAACCGCCGCCACCAGCUCCUGUCAGUUUGGAGACAAGCUUGUGCUUGACCGUGGUUUGGACCACAGCCUCAAUCGAGCUGUGGCUAACCCCCAUUGACUGGAGCAGACCUUGGUUCAUCUCCAUGAGUUCUUUUAUACUCUCUUCUUUCUCUGUAACUGAGGUCUCGUCUUUAGAUUGAAUGAUCGCAGCGAGCUCUUGGCUUAUAGAAUCCACGGCGUUGAACACCGAAUUCAUCGCAUCAGGAUGUCUCGCCGCUCUCUGUGACACACCAGAGACCAGAGCUUUUGUGUUCCGCCCAACUCUAGUGUUGGUAAUUAGCAUUCUCAGAGGCAUGUUGGAUUGUAACCGAGUUAUCUCGCCUGAGCAGAACUUGAUCAUGUUGCCUGCAAGCACCGCAAAACAGAAACGGUUUUCUCUAACAUAUAAUUGAAAUUAUGAUCCGAGGAUUUGGAGUUAUACAGUUAGAACAAACCGUAUGCACUGACGGUGUUGUCUAUCCCAGAAGGUUUCCCAUGGAUGAUCUUUUCGCCUUCGAAAGCCCAUUUAUUUAGCAACUCAAGAUUGGUUUCAUCGAGAGAUGACCAACCAUUACCACAGGUUUUAUCUGAAAUAGAAGAAGCGAGGAGAGCAGCUGUGAGAGCUACACAUAAAGCUGCUGAUGAACCGAGGCCAGACCCGUAUGGAAGCUCAGAGUUAAUGACUACUGUAGCCGGAUUGAACCUAAAAAAAAAAAGAAACGUGAAACACAACAAGAUGAAGAACUCGGAAAAAAUGUCUCCAAGAACAUAAAAAAUGAAACUAUUUUGAGUUACCUACCCUAUAAUUCUAGUGUAUAACCAGAGAAACGUGGAGAUCCCAGAAGAGAGCCAGAUCUUUUCCUUUGGAAGAUUUUGCUCUUCGACCAAAACUGCAAUUGAUUUAAGGGUCUCCUGUGAACAUGAAGUCGGCGUAGAACGGCACAAAGUGCUUGAAUCAUAAGGAAUUGCUUCUUUGAUUCUGGCCAAGGACCAGGAAAACUCCAAGGAAAUGUCCUUGAGCUGAAGUGUAAGCCUAUCACUGUUCUCAGCUUCAGAAAAAAUAAAGAAAUAUAAAGCUUCAGAUAUGUUUCUACAUUGGGACAAAAGAGUAUUAACCAAACAAAUCAACGAUAAAAUUAUUUUGAGGAAGUUGAUGCGAAAAAUGAAUUGAUUCAGUACUUAGGUCAAGUCAUUUGCUACAGAUCUCAUCUGCCUAUACACUCUUAAAAAAACACAUUAUCCAUAGAUGUUUGAACUGGAAUCCAACAAGCAGAAGCGCACUGAAUGAAUUAACCCGUGUUACAUAGAAGGCGGGAUACUCUACCAUCUUAAUGCAGCCUCAAACUCUUUGAUAGUACUAUUAUUUAGUGACAUUAGCUAAAACAUAGACAAUAAUCACCUGAACAUUCAAAGUCUAGAACCAAACUCAUGGAUUUCCGGGGAUUGGUUAGUUCUGGAUCCAGAGUUAAAACUAGAGAAACAAGAAAUGCUAUAUUCCCAAGUGAAUUAGAAAAAGCUAAGAUCUUUUGCUAAUCAAUUCACUAAUGAAUUCAAAUCCAUUUGGUGAUCUCAAGGAGCUUAAAAGGAACCUGAUUGAAGAGGAAAGCGGAGAGUAACGUAAGUGUAGAGAUCAAUGGCGGCAGCUACUGCGGUGGAUCCAUGGACAACCGCGUGUUCGCCUGCGAGUAUGAUCUUCCCAGGAGCUCUAGCUUUCACUUCCAUUAUUCUAAAUCAAACACAAAAGUGAAAAGCUUUUGAAUUUGAUUAGAAAUAACAAGGAAACAGACAAGAUUCACAACAACAAUAGAGCUUAUCAGAAUCAACUAAUAAUUGAACACACCAACUCUGGAAAUAAAAUAAAAUAAUAGCCUUUGCUACGAAAUGUGGAUCAGAUCAAAAGGGUUUUAUUAUAAUUGGGAUCUGAUACGGAUCUGUAUUAAACUAAAGACUACAAAUUUAUAUAUUAUAUACAAAAAAAUGGUAAAUUUGAAUCAGAUAAAAGUUGCUCGGAGAUCGAACACAAAGUUGGGAAUUUUAAAAAUGAAACUAAAAAUUUCUUUCUUUCUUCUUCUCAUUGACUUCAUUGUCUUACCUCAAGCGAUGCGAAUUCAAAACAGAGAUUCAAUAGACAGAAACAGCGUACCUGGAAUUGCUGAGCAAAAGAAAGAAACCUAGAAGAUGGAAAAAUGUCUCAAGCCAACGAGAAUCGUGUUCAAUGAGGAUGAUUGUGUUAAAAUAACCGAUUCUGGUUUAACAUUUCCGGUUCGGUAAAACUCAAUUUGUCUUAUGUAUCUGCUUAAUGUGAGAAUUUGUUAAGAAAAUUUUACUUUCAAUUUGAAUUUUAUCGGUUUAUUGAUUUUCGGUUUCGGGUUUGGUUUGGUUCGGUUUGAAGAAACAAAUCCCAUACGCAUUAGCAACGGCUAUUUCUUUUGUCUCUAACCAAACUAUCAAAAUUUGGGAUUAGACGAGAAACAAGAAAACAGAAAUUGCGGUAAUGACUCUUCUUCAUCUGACAUCAUCGCAUCUCAAUGGGUUUCAUUUUCUUAAUCCACAACAAAGUUCGAAACUUUCAUCAAUAUCUCGAUUCUCUGUGUCGAUUUCACAUCGAAACCAGUUCCAAAGUUUGGUUAUUUGUGCAAAGAAGAGGAAAAAAAGAGUUGGGUAUCGAAGAAUCACGAGGUUUUUGUUCAAUUCAAUGUCUUUACUGCCACCUAAUCUCCAGAUUUUAACACAGCCGUUGGAUCUUGUUAUUGCUGAUUUGGGCGGCGUAGAUGGAGGAGGAGGAAGAGGAGGAGGGUUAGGAUUUUGGAGAGGAUGGGGAAGAUUUGAUGGAUGGAGAAGGAAAAAGAACAGAGUACCAGUUUUGGUUUUUGUUUGUGUGAUUCUAUGGAUUUAUGGUUUCUGCAAAAUCUCUGGGAUAGAGAUUAAGAGUGAAUUGGUUUUGAAACUUUUGGGGCUUUGUUUCUUUGGUGUCACUAUGGUUAGAGAGUUGAAGAGAGAGGCUAGAUUUUUGGUUUUUGGGUUUCUCUGUUUUGUUGCUUCAUUGGUUUUUGGAUUCAAGAAAGAGCAUUUGGUGAAAUUAGCUUGGAGAGUUAGAUCUUCUUCUUCUUCAGUUCUUCUUUGUAGAAGGAGAAGUCGUAGAAGAGUUUGAUUAGAGAGGAAGAUUAUUGAUUCUGCUGUUUACUCCAUUAUCUUUCAAUUGAGAUUUCUUUUGCUAAACUUUGAUGAAUUUGUCUGUAAUUGGAUGUGAUGAGUGGUUUCAAUAUUGUUACCAUUGAACAAAACCAGAGACAAGUAUGACGAGGCACUUCAAAACAAUGGUGGAAGUGAAGCAACUUCAUGGCUUAAAAAUGAUCACAAACUCGUCAUCGAAAACUUCUUUCCUCUAAGCUGAUGAACCUAUCUUCACCAAUUGACAACAGAACAUUUUGUUCCCACUUUCUUGUUUCGUAUGUACAUGUUCUCGUGGAGUUUGAGGCGACGGUUGAUUUCUCCGUUUAUGAAUGCAAUCAAGACAAUUGGGUAUAUACGGAGUAAUGGUGGUAUGAAGCUAGUCAAAGAGUCGAUGAAGAGAAAAAGGAUAAUAUCAUAUGUUCUUGGCUCAUAAUUCAUUCCAAAACAAUGUUUCAACUUCAUGCCAGUAUACAGAUCAGCAAGUCUAACUUAACACCUGAAAUAUAACUCUCUUCUUUCCUAGUUUAAGAGAUUUUCGUUAACCUUAGAUGAUGCGGGAGGCUCUUCAUCAUCAUCUGUAUGCAUUGGGUAAACGAUAACCAGACAUAACUAUUUUGUCAGCCAACAUCUUGCCCGUCUUGGGCAUAACAUGCCAGUGUAAUGUCAAGUUAAAGUCCUUCCCUCGGAGGUUAUGUCCCUAGAAAGCAUCCCAUUCACAAAAAUCAGAUACCCUCAGAAUUACACAAAGGACUGGUAUUUCAAGAGGGGAUCACAGAAAGUGCUUUAUGUACCUGAUCUAUGAAACGGUACUUGUUUGAGAUUUGUAUCCAGAAUUUGGCAUGCUCUUUCUCGGGUAUUAUGGCAUCCCAUAGCGAAACCUGCGGAAAAUGUCAAAUGUUAAUGGUAUAUUGGUAUAUCAACGAAAAGGGUCCCAAUCUAUGUCACAGGCACGAAGAAGCCAGCAACACUAAAACCACAUAACCCUUAAAUUGUUCUUAGCUACGACGAGAGCAGUAGGCUAUAAUAUAGCUUUAUACCUGAUUGAGGGCGUUCUCGGAGGUUUCAUACUCAGCUGCUACAAAAGCAAAUACCUGCAAAUGUUUUCGUUCGUGUUGGUUUUAUGUUCAUCCGACUAUACAAAAGUGGUAUACAACCAAGACAGUAUAUAACAUUGGGUCGACUUCAGGUUAUAGCAACAGAGAUGAAUUGGUGUACUUUGGAAUGCUAUACCUGCUUCGUGUUCCACGUAAAAAGUGACUGCAAAUCUGCUGUUAUGUUCAGUGUCAAGCUGACCUGAAAACGCGUAAAACGCUAAGCCGUUAGAAUAUAUGAGACACGUAAAGGGCAGCCUGAUGAUUCAAUAAAGAAGAAAAAGUUUACUAGUACAUGUACAGGCUGAAAAUACCCGAGUAUAAACUCAUUAACUAAUAUCACGUCUAGAGUAUAAUAAUCAACUUGGACAAUUUGACUUCAAUAUGGCUUUCAAGAGUAGGCUAAUGUAAAAUCUUUAUAUUUAACUACAAUGUUCAAAGAAACAGUCGCAAGUGGCCUUCUUCUGAACCCAGUGGCCAUCAAAUUCAAUGAAUACUAAGCACACUAGAGCAUAUAUAUAUAUCGGUGGCACAAACCAAGCAAUCAUAGACACUUGCAGUGAAGACAAAGAAAGCCGUAAGAAGAGGCAAGAGCAUGAAACCUUACCUCAUCAUUUCCAUGAGGUUGCUUCUGAAACCAAUUGAUAUUCAAUAUCUGCAAAACACAGCACAAUCAUUACAAAAAUUCCCUCAAAAUAGCUCAACCGUUACAAUUUCCCAACUAAAACGCCAGAAUCCAACAAAAAUUAGGGAUCUAAAACAGCUUGACCAUGAUACACUAAGAGAUCAUGGAAUUUGAACAAUACACAUACCUGGAUCUGAGCAGAGGGAUUUUGGUUACUGAAGUUAUCAGAGAAGGAAGCAAUCGCGCAAAUGAAAGCCAGAAUUGUGACGGCGAAUGUGAGCAGAGCAUUGGCUCUGUAACCAAAAGAAUGCAUCCUCUUUCAAUCGGAGUUUCCUCUCGACGAUCCCAAAACCUUUCUCUUCUGCUCCGAGGAAGAAGAAGAAGAUUGAAUGUUUUUUUUUUUUUUUUUUUUUACCUUAUUAAAAUUUAUAAUUCUUUAAUAUUUAUUUUUUCCUUGACGUUGUGUAAUGUGAUUGGCCGAGACACGUAGAGUAUUACAUAAAUCAUAUAAACCGACAUUCCGGUUUACGAUAGCACCAGUUCAGAAAAUUGCUGAUCGGUUCUGUCUCUGACCCGAUUACUAAUUAUGCACCAGAUAUAGAUAAGUCCAUUUGGUCAUGGUUAUUAAUGAUUAUAGUUUAACUUUGUCUACGGACAAAACGGAUUGGACAAUAUAGACAUUGGUCUAUCCAUAGUACUUAAAAAGCUAGGUCAAAAUCAAUUUGGAGAAAAAUCAAAACAUAUUUACUCAUUUUCGUAAAAUCGAAACUAGAAAACUCCGGCGAUUUCUUCGUAUAUCUUCCCUUCAAUAUCUUUCCUUGCUUGUCUCCAUGGCUUCAACGCAUCAGUCUCAUCUAGUUCUUUCGAUUGAGAAUCAAAAUCAGGUGAGAUUUAGGGGGGUAUUGGACUUGGUAUUUUUGGAGAUUUGCUGGAAUUUAUAAAUUUUAGACUUUUGAGAGAUUUGAGUAAGUUUUUAGAUUUAAAAAGUAAAAAAUGAUUGGUAAUUUGGUGAGAUUUUAUAAUUAAAUUUUGGGUGAUUUUAGAAACAAAUAAAAAUUUUAGCAGUUCCAUGACUCAUUUCUCUUACUAGUUUUUCUCUUCAAAGUUCGUAGAACAUAACCUAAACAGAUAAAAAGAAAAGAAAACUUCAUUAUACUUUGUGAAAUCAUACAUGUCUAACAUGAGUAGUUCUUCCAAGCUCUUACAUGUACCAACCUAAUUCUACAGACAGAACAAUCUUAAAGAAUGCUAAUUGCAGUUUGAUGCGGCGAAAACUAAACAUAAAAUCAUGCCUGAGAUAAUAUAGAAAAUAUUUGAGUGUUUUUAAGCUUGAAAUCGUGUCUGUUUUUUUUUACGGUUUGCCAUGUAAGUCAUAUAGAUUGACCAUACAUUCCAAAAGCUCUCCAUGAGUUAAAAAGUUCUCUGAAAAACAGAACGGAAGAGUGUCAAGAGUUCAAUGGGGCUAUGAUUUGCAGUGACAUACAAAGAAAAUGAGCAGAUGAGUUUAACCAAAAACAGAAGUAAGAAGACACAUAAACCGCUUUUGUAAACAAGAACAACAUAUAAGACAUAAAAACCACCAUUUUCUAUGUUUAGAGGAUGCAUAAAAUAUAAAGUGACGACAUAAAUAACUAGUUGCAGUCACAAACUCUACAAGCAUUCACUCUUUCUCUAUAAACAAAACGCUUCCUAAGUUACUUGCAGCAAAGUUUUAACCACACGUGCAUUAAACCAAGAACCAAACCAACAGACACUAUCCCAUCAAAAUUCCCAUAAAACUCAAUAUGCUAUGGCAACGUUCAUUUGUUCUAGCAUGUAAACAUGAUCAAGAAAUAAAGGAAGAUGAAGGGAUAGACAUUUUCUCAAAGGGAGUCCACAGAUGAUGACUUUCUUCCCCUGAAAUCACAAACAUUAAAAUUGAAAUUCCCAUAUGAAUCGAAAUUGUCAGAAAGAGAGAUUCUAACCUUGAAGAUAUCUGUCAAUGGUGUGUUGAAGAAUUUGGAGGAAACCCCUUCGUCCCAGCUAGAACAAAUACGCCAUGCGCAGCCGAGCUUAUGUCAAUAACCUCCGAAAGCUUUGAGAAACCCCUCGAGGCAACUCCGAUCUGGCCACUAUUUGCGGUCGAUCUUAAAUUUGUUAGCUUAGAAUUGACUUCGAUGAUACUUAAAAUUCAUGAGAAAUGAGAAAGAAGCUCACAAGUUGGGAAAUUGGUUUCGUCGAUGAUCCCUUCAAGCGUGUUGUAAACCAAUUUACCGUCCAUAAGAAACUGUAAAGUAUCCUUUCACUGUUGGCUCCCAUUUAGCCACCGGACCUUCCUCCGGAGAUUUAUAAUUCUUUCUCUUAGCCUGAUCUUCUGUGUGCAAUCUAAUUCUUUCUCUUAGCCUGAUCUUCUGUGUGCAAUCUCAUCGCCACAUACCUCAUCUCUUCCACAAAACCCUUUGAUUCUCACGGAUACUUUAGUGUUUUGUUUCUCCGUUGUUGUAGUUGCCGCAACCACCAACGAAGCUUGACAUUUGUUUCUUAUGAAUUUAUCCGGGCACCAUCGCCAUCGAUGAAAAAGAUAUCGAGCCCACUUCAUGGUUGCUUCGAUUAUUGUUUUACGAGACAGUAUUUUUUUCCUACAAAUUCUUCACAAUUCCACCUUUAAAGGUGUGAUUCAUUGAGUCAUAUUUUAUAACUAAAAAAGUAUAAAAAGUCGCCUAGAAUCCGUUCUUAUAACUUUUUAUCAAAAAAUCGUGAUAUUUUGAAUAACAGUAGAUUUGUUAUAAGUUUUUAAAAUUGUUGAUUGAAUAACAAGAGAUUGUAAACUCUUUUAGAUGAUUUAAUACAAAUUUCAAGUUCAAUAACACAGGAUUUGAAGAGAGAUUUUAAAAUCAUCAGUUGGAUAACAAGUAAUUUUAAGAAUAGCCCAAAAUCUCCUAAAAUAUCAAGUCCAAUACACCCCCUUAGUUUUUUCGAUUUGAGCAUUUGCGAUUUUGAGAGAGACCCAUUUACUCGUUUUGACUUUUUAGAGAGACCUAUUUACGAUUUUGAGAGACCCAUUUAAUCAUUUUGAGAGAGAUCCAUUUAGUCGUUUUGAGAGAGAUCCAUUAGGUUUAUGUGAAUUCUCAUGAGAUGUAUAGCCUUUGAGUUUCUCUUGAGUGUUUGUCUUUGAGUUUGAAAGUUUCCCGCAGCUUGAGACUUCUCGUAACUUUAUGAUUUUGUCAUUAGACUUGUAGUUUUUAAUCUUUAGCUCUUGCUUUGUCAUUCAUCACCAUUUCACCAUUUCUCUGAUUUUGUCUUUGCCAAUGAUAUGAUGUUGUAAUGUUUCUCUGUUCUGCCAUUGAUGAGCUUUUGUUAUUAUUUCAGUUGGGUAACAAUGAUAUUCUAAACCUUGAUGAUGACUAUAUGACUAGGGAUGAGAUGGAUCUGGAUGAAGAGAAUCCGGAUGAACAAAUUCCAAAUGAAGAGAAUCAGGUAGAAGAAUAUUCACUUGCUAGUACAGUUGAGAACAAGGUGAAAGGUAAACGGAAGCGUUCAAAGUGCUGAUUUAUUUUAGUAUCAUUGGAACUAAAUCAGCUGAUGGUAUGAGUAAUGUUAGAUGCAACUAUUGCAAUCAUGAGAGUAUGCUCAAAGACUCCUGUAAGUACACCUGCAAGUGGAAAUAGGAAGUUUGAUAUGAUGGUGUUUAGGAAAAUGAUUGGAUUGGCAAUAAUUGAGCAUGAUUUGCCUUUUUCAUUUGUUGAGUACAAAAGGAUUAGAGAGGUAUUUUUAAUGAUAAUUCUAGCAUAGAAUUUGGACAAUGAACAUUACAGCUGCUGAUUGUUUAAAGAUUUAUGAGAAAGAAAAACUUAAACUUAAGAAGAGUUUAGAUGAAGUUCCUAGUAGGUUUUUUUUACAACAGAUCUUUGGAAAUCACUUACAAUAGAGGGCUACAUGUGCUUGACUGCACACUAUAUCGAUAGUAGUUGGAACUUGAAGAUGAAUAUUUUGUCAUUUUGUGCAUUCCCUCCUCCACACACGGGAGCUGGUAUAGCCACAAAGGUUUUGGCAUUGUUAUUAAAAGAAUGGCCGACAGAGAAGAGAGUGUUUAUUAUUACGAUAGACAAUGUGUCAUCAAAUGAUAAUAUGCAAGGAAUCAUCAAGAGGCAACUUAGGAAAAAUUUGGUGUGUAGUGGAGAGUUCUUGCAUAGAAGAUGCGUUGCACAUAUUUUGAACUAGAUUGUGCAAAAAGAGCUAGAAGUGAUUGAUGAAGCUUUGAGAAAAUCCUUGAUAGUGUAAAGUUUGUGACCGUGAGUGAGUCUAGAGAGAAAUCAUUUCAAAUAUGUGUGGAAACUGUGAGAAUUGAAGCUAAGGCGGGACUGCUAUUAGUAUUAGAUGUAAGCACGAGAUGUAAUUCUACAUAUCUAAUGCUUUCUAGAGCCAUCAUUUACAAUUAAUAAUAAUUUUCUCGGAUCUCAAGUCGAGCUAGUAUAAAAAUUGACAAAAUUCAAUAAGAUAAUAAGAUAAUAAUUUUUUUGGACUCUCUAUAUAAAUAUAUAGUCCCAUUUAUAUCACAAAAUAAUAAUUAUAUAAGUUUACAUAUUUAUAUAUAUAGUUAUAUAAAAGUUAUAUACUAAGUAUGUUUUUAGUAUUUUUGAGAAAAUUAUAUUUCCGUUAGAGCUCAUCUUUAAAUUUUAUUGUAUCAAACAAAAUAAUUGUUGUUGUGUUUUUUAAACUGUAGUGUACUUUAUAAUUAUAUCAUAAAAAUAGCCAAUUUGUUUCAGUAAAUAUUCAAUUUUUGAAUUUGUAUCAUUUUUAUUUCUUUAAUUUUAUAGCUUUUAAAGUACGACUGCUAAGGCUAUUAAUCUAUAGUCUGCUUGGGUCAUUAAUUUAUCGUUUGUAUAAGUGAAUUCAUCUAAAAUCUGUGUAAUUUAUUGUUGGAAGAGCUUUUUUUUAUUCUUACUAUUAAAAUCUCAAGUCCAAAACUAAAAAAUUUAUAACAUCCAAAACACUAAUUUUAUUUAAAUAAAAUUGUCUCAAUUCAUCUUUUUCUAAAAUUUUAAAAAUUAAAACAAAUCUCUUUAUAUAUUAAUAAAAUAUUAUUGUCCCAACAUUAUUAAUUUAUAGAGGUUUUACUAUAAGUAUCAUCAGUUCAGAAAAUUAUUUAUUGAUUUCGUAUUUAUUGAUAUGAGUACUACAAAAACAGUAGUGGAUUAAUUUUUGGUAGUUUAGGGUAUUGAUUUCGAUUUGUACAACUUCGUAUAAACAGAAAAGAUUAUUGAAUAACUACGUUACAUUAUGUAUCUGACUUUAUCACUAAAUCUAACUAAUAUUGAUGCAAUGUCUGAUAUUUACAAGGCAAGGCAAGUUUUGGUUGAACCUGCUAUUGUCUUAGGAGAAUUUUGUUUGCUUACCUACUUCAUUAAUCACAUAAGUUUUCAUGAAGAUAAUUUAGACAAAUUAAAAUUGAUGAUCUAUUUGUUUAUCGCAUGUAGGAUUGCGAUAAUGAUGAUGACUAUGAAAAUUUAUUGAAUAUUUUCUUUUGAAGUCACGGUAUCAACCCAAAAAUAUGAGAGUGAUGAUUUUUCCAGAUCUUUCGGAAUUAAUUUCUCUGAUAUUACAAGAACGAUUUCACUAAAACUUUUGGGAUCGAUUAUAUCAUAUUAGGAUCAUAUGAUGAAUUUAUCUAAAUUUUUGAGAUUGACCUAAUUUGAUAUGAAAUAAAAUUAUUGACUCUUAAUUAAUGAGUUCAUUCUAUAAGAUAAGGGUAAAUAUUUUCUUCUUUCUAGACAUACGUACAAACAAACGAACAAAAACAAAAGAUAAACGAGAAACAAUCAAUUUUCUUACAGCGGACAUAUUUUAUUGAUUGUAUCCUAAUUGUUUUUGUUGUUUCUCUAUUCACAUUUAUAUACCAAAAAAAACUAAAUUUACAUGGACAAUCGUAAACAAUGUACACCAUCCUAAUUAAUGUAGACAACAACGGCUUUUUGUGUGUUUACGUUUAUGCUUUUGGGUUUGAGUGGUAACCCCAUACAACUACAAUAUGGAUACCGUUUUGACAGUUACCAAUUACAAAAACGAUAUUAAAAGCGUUAGUAAAAGUUUUACUUUCAGUUUUUUGGUAUAGCUUUCAUGUAUCACUGUUUUGUACAGCUUUGCACUAUUCCGUAAAAGGUUACCACUCCAGCUAACAGAUAAAAAAUUUGUACAGUUUUGUGUUAUCAAUCGGACCUUUUAUUAAUAUUUUUUGCGAUUGUUAUACAUUUAGUGACACCUUGAAGCCAAAUGUUAUCACGACUUUUGGGUUUUUAUUUUCUUCUUUGUCACGACUUUUAGUAAUGUUUAUGUUUGUAGAAUAAUGGCAAUUGCGUGUCUGCGUCAGUAUUCAAAUUGUUGAACAAGUAAUCUUCGAAUCCGUAUAGAAGCGACUUAGUCGUGGUCUAUGUAUUAUAGUAACUAUGUUUUAAUUUUAAUGUAGAUGAUUCCAUUUCCAACUUCCAAGUUAUAUUAAAAUAAAAUUUUCUCAAACUAGUUUUGGUCUUAGCUCUCAAGGAAGAGUACCUCGUCCGUUCAAAUGAUUUUACUUACUUUUUUUUUACGCUCAAAUGAUUAAUUGUUGGAGCUGUGAGUCUUUAAUACUUGAAUCAUAUAUUAGGACAAUACUCUAGAAAACAAUCAUUGGUAACAAAUUUGUUUAUUAUAUAGUUCAUAACUUCAUCGUAUUCAUCGAGGAAAAACACAUGAAUUCCGAAGCUAGAUAACACAUUCCAUUACAGCUAUAAAAUAAUUUUAUAGUCUCUUAUCUUCUAUGUAUUCUUGGUCGACGACUAAGACUUUUUUUUUUUUUAAAGAGAAGAAGAAGAAUAGAAGACCAAUCUCCAUUUGUUUGACUUUUAGAGAUUAAAUGUUCUUGUUAUAUAUAAAAAAAAAAAACAAUCUCCUUUUUCCGUGGGAUUGACAAUUUAAAUAUCUUACAAAAAAAAAAAAAAGACAAACGAAAUCAAAGAAUUGCGUAAAAUCUAUUGCGUGUUUAUGAACAAUGCAAAAAACAUCACCAAACCAACUAAACCGGUAAUCUAACGGAACCGCUAGCUGAACCAACUGUAUCGGUAUGUUGAACCGACGAUGUUCCUUCACCGUCCUUAUUGACUUCAACUCUCGGCGAAGGAACCGGCGUCGUAUUCCUCCAGAGAAACGAUGGGUUUCUUAGAAAAGCCCACCGGUCUGCUCGUACCGAGUCACCGGUCGGACUUGUUAUUGAAUUUCCUCUAACGCUACCGGUUCCACCAAGCCUAAUCGAACCAUCAUCCCGGUUCCGCCACAGAAACGACGGGGUUUUACGGAAUAACCACCGGUCCGAUUUAGCUCUCGACCGAUCAAUCGGUUUACCACUCCUCGAGCUUCCUCCUCUCGCUAAAACAAAAACACUAUUCGACCGGUUCAAUUUCCAAUUCGCCAUUAUCUUCUUCCUUAAUUCUUCCGGUACUCUAAGCGUAAACCGGUCGGUACUUUCUCCCGGUAAAACCACCGAAUGACCCGUCGUAUGCGACCUGGAGAAAUUUACACGCGGUAGUUCCACCACCGGUUCAGGAACCGCCGAUUGCUGCUGCGCUUCAAGAUCAAUUUCCACCACCGCUUCCGGUUCAACCGGUUCAAUCUUCUGUUCGGCGAGAUUAGUCCGACAAACCGGACAAGUCACGUGACCUUCAAGCCACGCGCCGAUACAAUGAGGAUGAAACACGUGAUCACAUUUAGGUAACAAACGCAGCGUUUCAUCGUCUUCAAACUCAUUCAAACAAAUCGCACACUCCAACGCUCCUUUACCAAUCUUCUGAGUCUUCACUUCCGAGUAUACAAAAGUCGGAAACGUCUCGAUAGUCUCCGCGUCUAACCCACGCGCCACCGUUGCGUUUGUUACUCUCCUCCUCGCUCCUCCUGUAGGAGUAACGUUGCCGUCUACUGCGCCAGUACAGUGGCGUAUGUAGACGGUGAAGAAGCCCAUAAAGAAGAGAGCUGCGAUGACGACUACAACGACAACAGCCAUGGCGGGACUAAGACUGCCGCUGUAAGCAUAUUGGUCACUUCUCGGGUUGGGGGAUCCGGGCUGACCCGCCGACCCGGAUAAAAGUAGAAAGAAGAGAAGAACUAGUAAAGAGAUUUGCUUUAUGGGAUCCAUUGUUAGCUCUGGAAUCCCAAAACGUUACUUUUUUUUUUUUGGGUUUAGUGUAACAUGUAAAGAGAGAAUAAGAAUCUGAAGUUUAUAGAGAGAUAUUUGAAAAGUUUGAAGAAGUCGUGGAGAAGAAGAAGCGAGGAAGUUAGGGGAUAUGUCAUAAGCAAAUGUGUUACUUAUUGAAUGCCACGUGGACGGACAGAAUUUUCCAAUUGGUGAGGGAAGUGAAAAGUCAAUAUAGUUCGGUGACUUUCGAAGAAGUUGUUGACAUAGUCUUAAACUCUUUAAUUCAUCAUCGUAUAUUGUAUGAAAAGUAUCUUUCAUUUUUUUUCCUACUUUUUACUAAACUUGAUUUGUUUUUGAGUUUUAAAAUGAAGACACAUUAUGAGACAAAUGUCGUUAUUGUUUUGAGCUAGUUUCCAAUACAAACUAAAAUCAAAUUCAAGAUAGAGGGAGGAAGACUAUGAAUUAAAAACAUGAUAAUGACAUGUUUGAUUCGAAAGACAGAAAUACAUGAAUAAUCAAACAUAAAAAUAUAAAACUUUUUUCUUUACUAAUCUUAGCCAUCAUUCAUAGACGACUACUUUUGAUAUUAAUAUUCUUCUAGAAAGUCUUUAGCCAUCAUAGGUCUAUCGUGAUCACCAACUCAAAUAUCCUUUUUUAUUUAUUUAUAAUUUCUUUGACUUGAAAUUUGCAAAUCCAAAGACAAAAUGAUCUCGGAAUUUUCAAUUUUACCUUUUAACCUCGUGGAAUCACACCAUUUAUUAUAUAUGUGCCGGUCACUAACUCACUAUAGUCCCAAAAGCAAAUCAAUUCAUAUCAUCUUUGAUUUAAAUUAGCAAAAGUUAUACUAUCUCCAACAUGAACUAUUUUGUUCUUUCUUUAAUUUGUGUCUUUAAGUUAUUUUUUUGUUGUCACAUAUUUUAGUCGAAAUAACAUAUGAAAAUGACAUGGAAAGUGAAAACUAAAUCGAUUUGGGAGUUUACUACUUAAACUAAUAAGUUCCUUACUCACUUAUAAUAUUAUUUUCUUAUACUCUUAAUUAGUUUACUUUAGUAGUAGUCUAGUAUUUUGUAUUUGCACUAUCGUUAUAUUAUCAUCAGGAUUGAAACUCGUAUAAUGCAUAUAAGAAAAUGUUAAUUGUCAGAGGUUUAAUUUUAUGUUUCUUUGAAACGAUUAAGGACUUUAUAUACUAUUAGAAAGUAAGAAUAUAAGCAGCAAGCAUUGCCAUUAUUGUGGGAGAAAAAGAGAAAAGUCAAACAAGAGAGGCUGACUUGACUUGGAUUCGUGACCAAACUGUUAUUACAUUGACCAAUACCAGCAAAUGAGAGUCUGGGAGAUAAAAACAGCACGCACUUUCUAUUCACAAUCGUAUAACACCACAGCUUUCCUCUGUAUUACGUGCCGUUUUGUUCGUAUGCCAUGUUUUUCUCUUAGAAUCUCUGCAAACAAAAAAACAUUUUGAGUACUUUUUUUUUUUUGUUCAACAACAUUUUGAGUACUUAAUAUGAAAAAAAAACAAUGAUGAAAUCAUAGAAACGUUGAAAAGUUUUUAAAAUGAAUCUGAUUAAAGUUUGCCAAUCUAAUCUCUUCUGCAUUUGGCAUAAGCUAGUGAUCAUACCCAAGAAUCUAGAUGAACACAUUUAGUAAGGUAGUUUACCUUUCAUGUUCUACGACCAAACACAUGGUUCAAGGUUCUUGGUAAGUAGGUAUUGGGACACCUGAACCAUCCGUCAGUUUCUUGUAAGCACUUUGCAGUCUUCUUGUUACCGGUCCUACUUUUCCUUCACCGAUCACACGCCCAUCAAUUUUCACAACCUAAAACCAAUAAACUUGACAAAUAAGCGACAUGAAAGCAACCAGAAAGUGUUUCACAAGAAGGAAAUUCACUCAAAACAUUUGAGAUUUUCGUAUUCUGUGAUUUUAUUAUAGAGAUUGUGCAUGUACCGGGCUGAGUUCUCCCAUAGUUCCUGUAGUCCAUACCUAGAAAAUUUUGAUACGGAUUGAUAAUACUUAGUUAGUGAUCAUUUGAGAUUCUAAGAUUGGGGAAAAGAUUAGGAAACCUCAUCAGCUGUAUGGAAUUCCGACAAGCUAAUUCUACGUUCUUCUAAGAUGAAGUUCUCUUUCACCACCAGUUCCAUGACCUGGACAUGGAUUAGAAAAUAAGAUGAAAGUCACUGAGAUAUGUUAGAAGAAAGAAUGUGAAUCGUUUUCUCUCUUACAGUAGCUCGGGUAAUGCCCGGUAGACAAUAAUCUGCGUGAGGAGUGAGUACUCGGUCUUUCUUCACCAUGAACUGCACCAACAGAGUUCCUCCACCAUUUUAGUUACCAAACGCUGCAUUGAGAUUUAGUACGCUUCUUCAGAGGGUAAAAAUGUUUAAUCUAGAGAUCUUACAAUGUUGGUUGCAUUGGUUUCAGACACAAAGCCAUCCUUGUCAAGCAUGAUUGCAUCAUCGACUUUGGCAUUGUUGCUUUCAAUCUGUCAUUCGAGAAUAAAACAUCUCACAAAGCCCUAAAAACACAUGAUCACUGAUUCACCUCGAUGCCAGGCAAAUGAUGGUACCUUUGCAAGUAUAUUAUUGAGGAGGUUGUUGUGAUGAAUCUUGGAAUCUAAAUUCUGGAAAAAAAGAGAAAAGAAAGAGAGAUUAAACAACAAUGGACAAUAAAUUAUUUGAGUAAAUGUGUUUCUCAACUAAAUAUAAAUGCAAAACAAUGAGACGAAUUUUAUACAUUGGGUGAAUUGCGGCGUGUAGUUGCAGUCACUAGCACAAUUCCGCCAUCAUUGUCAUAUACUGGAGGCUUCCAUUCGGCAAGCACUACAUUAUUUGGAAAACUCAAAAACAAAUUUCCAUAGAGUUUAGUUGAAUGCUUGCAAGAAACAAAUCUGAAACUUUACCGAUCAAAGUACAUCCAUAACGGUUAAAUGCAGGGCUCAUUCCAGAAGUGACCUUGAGAAAAAUUCAUAGGUUGUUUUGGUGUAAAAUGAUUGCAAUGAAAACAGAAAGAAGCAUCUCUUUUGCAUAUAAUUUACUUAGAACUUGGUCAAAGUGUAAUUAAUACCUUUUUGCCUCGAGUUAGAGACAGUCUUAUAUGUGUAUUGUCAAACAUCCCAUUGGUUAUGAGAGUUCUGAAGAUGGCUUCUUUUAUCUGUGCAUUUUCCAUUGUGAUAUCUUCAUUCAAAAACCAAAAUUCAAAACUAUGACAAUGAUUUUUAUCCUCAUCAAAUACUUACCUCCUCGCGGGUUGGGACAUUGUUGAAAGCCAGAGCCUUUGCUGAAUCAGACAACCUAUAUGCAACAACACUUCAACAUAUUAAUAAGAAUGCUUCGAAGAGUGCUCAGGAUUUUUUCCUCUUACUUGCUUCUUACCGGUCUAGAUGUUCUUCAAGCUUGAAUACUUUUCCUUUAUAUAUUCGAAGACCUUCCCAUACAGAGUCACCACCUUGCACGACCGAGUCAAAAACAGAAACCUUAAGCAAGAAUAAGAAAAAUAACAUCAGAACAUACACAUAAACAAGCAAUAACAAACAGAGAUCCAUGUAUAGUUCAAGCACCUUUGCCAUCUCACGUGGCACAAUCUCAUCACCAACCCAAGCAAGAAGUUUAGCAUUUUCAGGAACCGGGAGACUGGGAGGAGUUAAGGUGCUGGUCAAGAGAGAUGACUUGUGCUUCACUUGGCGCCUGAGAAUGUUGUAUAGCGGUAAACAUUGCUCUAGCAAAUCGUAAUGCAUUAAAGGGAAAGUCUGAAAGCAAAACAAAGCACAUUGUAGUUUGAAUGAUGUCUGGGUUCCAGAAUCGUUAAUUUCAGUAAAACCAGGCUUUGUACCUGAGGGUACUUCUUCGGAGAAGAAAACCCCGUUGAUUUGUGAAGAGUCUUGUACCACCAUGGAGCCCAAAGUCCAUCUUCUGGUAUAGGACCAGCCUCCCAUCUUUAAGAAAACACAAACAAUAAAAAUACCGUCAUUGCUUUUGCCAUUAACGGUCAAAUCCAAGAGAUCCCUAGAAGAGCAUAGAGGGGUCUACUUAAGCAUAGAGGCUUGAAACGGGAUCUCUAAGUCAUCGCAAAGACUGCGUAGUGUAACCUGAAAAUAGAAGAAUGACACACACAUAAGCAUCUUCUUACAUAAGAGAAUGGAGUUCACUGUCAAAAUUUCACAAUAUAGCAAUGAAACCUCGGGAUCUCGCUGGAGCUCAUCUGCAUCGAUGAUUGCUGGUGGUGUUCCCAUCUGACAGAGAUCACUGUAUAUCGAUACUAACUCUCCUAAUCCCAAUUCGUGAAACGAUGAAGGGUGUACCUUCUCAAAAGAAGGCUGCAAGAAAAGACAAACAAACAAAAGCAAAGAAAAGAAACAUCCCAAAACUGAAAGUAUCAGACCCAUAAACGUCAAGACAAAACCAACUCAGAAGAAUCUCCAAGAAUACAUAACACCAGAAGUGAGUUUGAGAAGCUUACCAAUAUGUUAAGGGGAUUGCGUAUCAAUAUAAAGUGCUUUCCUUUACUCAUUAGUUCACUCGGCAAACCAAGAAGCCGCUGUUUCGAUAUAUGCUGUGCAGAGAAGGACCCGAAACACAAGAAGAAUCACAAUCUUAUCUCAAACACAUAGAAAGAAAUUGAAGUCUCUAAAUGAGAAAGAGAAGUGAGAGUAUAACCUUACAAAACCUAUAUUUCUUCUUUCCUGGACCAUAAAUGAUAUCCUUCACCACCUUUUCUCCAUCACACUCCUAUUAGAAAACGCGACGAUUAUACUAUUUCUCCUCUAUGCCUAUAUUGAUAAAUGUGAAUUGACAUACCAUUUUAGAGAGAAGCUCAUCUCUGUAUGGCCUAUCAACACCCGUAGACUUGAGGAACGCAGCGUAUAAUGGCUCGUCGAGGACUUCAAUGUCAUCUCUCUGAAGAUAUUCAAACCAAAGCAUCUUGCAAGUUACAUCUCACACCAAACAUAGUUUGACAGUGACUCAAAAAUGUCGAAACUUUUAUUCAGAAAUGUUUAACACUGAGGACACAGAUGUUUUGAAGCCAAGAAGAAGAAUUAAAACCACAAUUUCGAUCCUUUUUUUUUUUCUCAUCUAUCAAUCCACAGAGAACUGUUUCUCUAUUGGCCAGAAAACGGGACUCAAACAAAAUUUAGAUCAUCAAUGAACUUUCUAUCAUAAAACAGUACCUGGGAAAAUCUGUUCCAUUUCCAGGGAAAAUCUCUGAAUAAAGUAAGAAAAAAGAGUACCUGGGCAAAGGAGUACAAAAGAGUGGUGCUGAGUGAUCUUGGAGCAGACCAUGCGUGAAUCACCUCCAUUAAAGACGAUCGCUUUGAAACCAAACAGACGCUUCAACUAAACUAUUAUUGCCUUUGUCCGUGUUCCUCUUUAUAAACAAGAACCAGCCGAGAGAAUCUUGGACUCAUGUAAAAUAGAUUUUUUUACAGUUUUGGGAAAGAAUAUGAUAAGUUUCCAAAGAGUUUGAUUGAUGUUUUUUUAUUAGCUUAAUUAUCUUCACAAGCAUCUUAUCCUAUCUCUUGCCACAUCGAAGUUGGUGAGUGAUAAUGUAUUUAUUUGCACUCACAGAGGUGCGUUUAUGGCGGUCACUACUGGCGUUUUGUAGCAACAACCAGUUGUAUUGUGAGCCCUUAAUCUAAGAUCAACAUUCACAUUUCUGCAAACACAUGAAACGCUAAUAACAGCGAUUUCAAUCUUCGAUAUGAACAUCCAACUACCAUCUUGGAAAAUGUUUCGAUUAACGGUCCAAGAAUCUUUGAUUUCGAUUGUAAAGAAAUUAAAGUGCUUCUGAAAGAAUUACAUCAUCUGGAGGAUAUGGAAAAGAGCCGAACGCUUGAGCGGUCAUAUGAAUGCAUAUAUGGUAAAAGCUCGAAGGGAGGCCUAAGUUCUGCGGUCACGUCUGUGAUGGAAAGGUCCAUUUGGUCUACUAGUGUCAAGAACACAUUAAAAGUGUCUGCAUUGCGAAUUACUGAUGCGAUAUAAGCCACCUUGGGGCUGUGUCCUUGUGGUGUCGUGUCACUAUCUUCAGUCUCAAAAGAGCCAUUGUCUCUUUUUGGUGGUUUAUUUAGAAGGGCUACGAGAACCCGAAGUAGAUGAGGGAGACAUGACGGGUCAUAGAUUACAUCUGCGCCUAGACUGAUAAGAACGUAAGGGUUAGUGACAUAAGCAACAUCUUUUACUAAAUAAUUCUCGAUUUUUACUCACAUAAUAUCUGGACGAUAUUCACUCAGUUCACUUUCCGAUGCAGUUUCCCACGGAAGAUGAAUGCAUUUAACUUGCUGUUAAAGAAAAAGGAAUAGAUCUUGAAUCGGUUAAGUCUAUCAUAUAUACUCUGAAUCAGAAAGCAAAAAGAAACUAUUUGCUACUUACUGUACUCUGAGCUUCUCCAGGUUGUUUGAGCAACUCGUCAUCAUAGUUUAAGUGAUUCCUCUCCAAAUUCAGCUUCAUGUUAGACAGAGUUAAGAGAUCUCCAUCUGUUAGUAUCACCUACGCAAGAAAAACUAGUGACUCACCAUAGCUUUGUAAAUAUGACCAGAACUUUGGUAAUAAGCAAUUAAAUUAAGGGAUACCUUUUUGGCCUUCACAUGUGCAAGGCAAAUUCCGACCAUGCCAACUCCAGAACCAACCUAAAACAGAAGCUCCAUCAAAUCAUGAAAUGAACAUAAUAGAUCAGAACAAACCUCAUCGGUCAAUAAACUAACCUCAAAACAGAAUUUAUUGGCGAAUAACUCUGGAAAUGACAAAACAAACUCUGACAGAAACAGACUUGAUGGCCAGAUGGAACACCUGCUCGAAACCCAAGCUCCAAGGUGAGCAACGUUGAACGAGACUCAGUGCAAUGAAAUGAAUCUGUGGUUAUCAAAUGAUCAUAAAAAAGACUCCUACCCAGUAUCUCCUUCAAGCAUGUUCAGCGAACAUUGCAGCGGAAUAACUAAUUUCCUCGACCUUGGACAACUUGGGUGUUUGUAUGAACCUAAUCCAUAGAAUAAGUCAGCAAAACACAUCUCAAUAGUAACUUCAAACAAUGAACAAAAGACAUAUAAUUUCACCUUCUGGGAAUAGAAAAGAGAUGAAUUUGGUAAUCCUUAUGUUUUCUUUCACCAAUGUAUCUUCCUAAAACACCCAACCAAACUUAGUUUUGUUUUCCAUCAACUACGAAAAAAAGAAGAAAACUUCAAAAUAACAAAGAAAAUAGUACACCUUAGAAGUUAACAUGUAAAGAGCAUACUCUUCAUAUACUUCAUCCAAUACUUCACCAUUCUCUAACUCAACUUCAUUUAUGAGUUUCUUCAGUAACUUCUUCGCGUAUGAUGCAUUACCAUUCGUAGCCUGAACGAGUUUAACAGUAAAUUUACACAUUAUUACAACUCAAGAUUCAUUUUUUUCCAGAGAAAACUAAUUUGGCAAACACUAACAAGUCCCAAAAUUAAUAACUUGACUACAAAAAGCUUAACAAAGUCAUAAAGGUUCCAAAUUUCUCUUGAGUUCUCAGAAGAGUAGAAUUUACUUACCGCUUUAACACAAAUUUCCCAGAAAAAUCUCUGGGCGUUCUCAGUAAUUGAUCCUCCGGUACACCCUCUACACAAAAAGAACAUACAGAAGCAAAAUCAAACGCCGGAGCUAAUGGAACAAAGAAGCUAGCGGCGGCGACGACGGCGCGAAUGAUGGUAGUUUUACCUAGCGAGAGUGAUAACGGAGUCCACUGGUUCCAUGGCGAGGAAAGCAGAGAGUACAUGAAGGUUCUGUGACUCCGCCUCCGUCUCCGCCGCCAUGACUUCGCCGUGUCAAGCUCCGAGGAUCACCAGCCACAUCAAAGCAUAAAAAUUUGUAAGCUUUGGGCCUAAUGGGCCUGAAGGGCCUAAAAUGAUUUGGUCCGUCAAAUGACUAAAUAACCCUUCGAAAACUACGAAAUUUCUAAAGUACCCUUCACUUUGCACCAUCCUUUGUCUUUUUAAAAACUUCAGAGAAUCUCCACACUUCUUAUCCAUUAGAAGCCAUGAAGUCUUCUUCUAUCUUCUUCUUCUUCCUCUUCUCAUGGCAAUUCUACUUCACUCUCUCUCUCUUCAUCCACCAAACCCUAAACCUCAAAACCCUAAUAAACCCAAAAUUGUCUCUCCUUUUGCAACUUUUCGGAGAGAUGUGGUGCUUAGAACAGCAUCUCUCUGCUUCGUCUCUUUCAUCAUUCAAAACCCAAUUCAAGAGUCAUUAGCCGAUCCUUUGAAGUCUUCCAAACCGCUAAGACUCGGCAUUGCCAAUACUAAGUCUUGGUUCCAGUUCUUUGGUGAUGGGUUCGCUAUUAGGGUUCCUCCUGACUUUGAAGACGUCAAUGAGCCUGAGGUGUGUAUCUCUGUGAACCAAUCUCUUAUGAAUACGAAUCUCUGAGACGUUAAUUUCGUUUAGUCUCUUACUAAAAUCUGAAAUUGGACGCUAAAAUUAUGAAAAGACUGCUCCUUUGGUUAAAGUUGGAGACUUUUUAAUGAUCAAUGUUUUUGGCUGCGUAGUUAGGUCUUAAUCAACGGUUGUUCUAGUCAGUUUGAUUUUGGGUUUAAGAGUUACUGUUGCAUUGUGUUCUGUAGUUCAAGAUCAGUAGAAUCUUAAGCCUGAAUUCAAAAACUGGUUCUACUUCCUUUUCUUGGGAUGAUAUGAUCAUUUGUUCUUGACAGUGUGUUAUCUUAUGCUCUAGGAUUACUCUGCGGGAUUGUCACUCUAUGGGGACAAGGCAAAGCCGCAAACUUUCGCCGCCCGGUUCCAAACUCCUGAUGGGUAUCGUUUGUUCCUCUUCCUUCGUUGGAUUUCCAUUUGGACUUGUGUGAUAAAUCAUUUGUGGAUGCAGAUCAGAAGUUUUGAGUGUAGUCAUUCGCCCUUCAAAUCAACUUAAGAUCACUUUCUUAGAGGUUUGCACAACAAAUUUCCUUUAUGAGUCUUACAUUUCUUGAAUCUUCAGUUCAGAGGUUUACUUGUUCGGUAAGUGCUCAUCGAAUGAUCUAUGAUUCAAAUAGGCUAAAGAUAUAUCCGAUUUGGGAUCAUUAAAGGCAGCUGCAAGACUCUUUGUUCCAGGUUCUCUAAAUUAUACGCAUAUUUGAAAGUCGCUUAGAAUCUUUCCUUAGAAAUCCGUUUAAUUUUCUGGUCAUUGUUAAAUUCUUUUAACCAUGAGCAGGUGCCGCGACUAUUUACUCUGCUCGUACAAUCAAGGUAAAGGAAGAAGAAGGUUUAAGGCAAGUUUGCUUCGAACUAUACUCCCAUCAGUCAUCAGUUUGGGAAUUUGUCUUCUUGAUUGGAAAAUUUGAUGUUCUUGUUAUUUUAUAUCUGCAGAAAUUACUACUUCUAUGAGUUUGGUAGAGAUGAAGAACGCAUAGCUCUAGUAGCCUCUGUGAACAGAGGGAAGGUCUCUGCUGCAAACACAUAUUUGAUUACUCUUUGACCUUCAUAUUUCCAGAUUCAUUACUCACUCUAUGUUUCUUUCUUAAUCUUGAAAAGGUUUAUAUCGCUGGAGCAGCUGCACCGGAAUCCAAAUGGAAAGACGAUGAGUUAAAGCUUCGAUCUGCUGCCAUUUCUUUCACAAUCCUAUAAUCGAAAAGGCAGCUUCUUCAUCUAACAGAAAACGCAAAACAUGCUCUCUAGUCGACUCAAAAAUGUGGAACUAAGAACAAACCGGCCAAAUGCGAUAACCGGACAUUGUUUUGAGACACAUUUUUCCAUUCAUUUUUGUUAUCUGUUUUCUUUGGUGAUGUAAUAUGUUCAUUGAUGUUUUGUAUUAUGAGAAAACAAAUCAAGAUUCUUUGUACAGCCAAAUUCGUAAGAACGUAAUUUUACUGAUUAUGCUGUCUAGUGUCUGCAGUUGCGGUUUGGUCAUCAAAAUCACAGAUUUCCUGCAUUUGUGUUGUUGCAACCCUGCUCACAUGUUUUAGCUAAUCGCCUAAUCGUAAGAAACAUGCGUUUGCGUUUUCCCCAAACGUGCGUUCACAUUUUCAGUCUACAAGAGAGGUACACCGAGAUACGGUGCUCCGCGAUGUACUGAAUCUAUUCCGCCUUAAACCCUGCCGAUUGAAGUCGAACUUCGCUCGAACAGACAGAGAGAUCCUUCAAAUGGAAUUCGAGAUCAAUGAAAGUUAGGGUUUUUCUUUGAGAUUUCUUCACACUAAUCAAAAAUGGCGCUCGUAAGAAGAUUUCAAACAGUUCGUUCUUUGUUGAAAACAGCUGGAUCAAGAGAAUCUUCUUCUCUUCCGUAAGCAAAUUUCCUAACUUUGAUUCUUCUUCCUUUGAUUGCGUUUUAGGAAAAAUGCGUGAAAUUGAACUCUGAAUCGUUUCUACUACCAAAAGUUUCAAUUUUUAGCUUCUUCAUCAUUGGUUUUGUCCAGAUUUCGGAAUGGAAAUGAGUUCUCUUUGAUUCAAAUUGGAGAUGAUUUCAGAUUUGGGUGUUGGAGAAGCUAUCAUUCUUCUCUUUAUCAGGGUACUUUCCUCAAUUUUCUCCAUUGAAUUUGACUGUGAAUUGAUGCUUUUGGAGUAAUUUAGUAAUGUAAUUGACAUUUCCAGUUCCUGAAGCUCAUGGAAAAAGUGUGUAUUCACGUUUAUAUGAAGGCCACAACAACGCCAACACACAUUUGCUUCGAUCUACAAUGGUAAAAAUCACCAGCUUCAUCAUUAGGUGUUAAAAUCACUGAUCUGUGGUUUGAUUCAUAUGUUCAUUGUUUGUGUUGUUUAUCAGAUUGCAGAGUCUUUGCCGUUUACGAACGAUAAAAGGUCUGCUACAACGCAAGUAAAGGCACCACCUCAGCUACAGAAAACGGUGUGUCAAGUGUCUCAACCUCGAUUGCUUUUUCUCACAUUUUUGGUUUUGGUUUUUGAUGUCGUUGAUAUAUAGAUACAUUGCUUCCUAUGGUUUUGAUUGUCUCACAUCAGUAUUUAUGAAUGCAGGGUGCCGUUAGAGUGUCCAUGGUAAGUCCUGGAUUUGUAUAUGAACCCUAUGCACUCCAGGAGAAAAUCUCGAUUUGGCGAAGGUAAUUUGGAUAAGAUUCCUUAUUCUGCUUGUUUUCACGGUUAAUCAUUUUAGGAAGUUCUGAGUAUAAGCUACGAUAUAAUUGUUCUACUAGAGUUGAGUUUUUAAUUACCUCAGCUAUUUUCUGUCAAUUGUAUUUCAGAUGUUUUACAAGAAGUGGUUGGCGAAGAACGAAAGAGGAUUUUAUACGGGAGGUAGAAACAUAUUCACGCAUUAUCUAGACUAGAACAUAGUAUAUAUUUUGCAGAUGUCUUAAUACAUGUGAAAACUCUAAAUUUCAGCUAAGAAGUGCCUACGCUAUCGCUAAGUUAAGAAAGACUGGGUAUUCAAAGAAUACGUUCUACAUAGAAGCACUAGAGUUAUACAAACAGGUAUUACUUAUACACCUUUUGGUUGUUUUUGUUUUUUCUUAGGUCUCAUAGUAAAAUGUUUUAUAAUCGUCUUGAGUUAGCUACCCGGGUUUUCUUCAGAUUAAUAUUCUGAUGGCCAAUGGUGACAAGAAGACGAUAAGGAAAAACGUAACUGAAAGAAUGUAUUCUGUAAGGUUUCCACAGUAUUUUUUGUAUUGAAGUUGAAGAUGAUGAUAUGGUCUUCUGUAUUGUUAAAUUUUUGUUUCUUUUCACUAUUAGGCACUGAAGAACGAAAUUAAACAGAGAGAAGCCAUGUGGGAUGGUGUUUACUGGGAAAUGAUUGAGCCGGUUGUCAAGAUCCGAACUUUACAAGCUCGACUGGCAAGUUCUUUUAACAGCUUGAAUUUAUUUUAGAUACUGAGAAUUAUGAUCUGAAGCAACGAAUGAUAAAAGAUUCCCCCUGCGGCCCUGCUAGUGGAUUUUCAAACUGACCCUAUUCUUUUCAUCCUUUUGACAACUUCUCAGAUCGGAAUUGACCGGACAGACCUUAAGAAAGCAUUCAUACAACUGACACUCGAGUUUCUGACAAAGCAGGUCAGUGAUCUUAAGUCAUCAUUUUGUUUCUCGUGCAUUGGGGGUUGUAAUGAGUUCUUGAGAUCUUUUCUAUCUUCAGAAAUUCGAAGCAUACGAUGCAAAAGGCAAUGUAGUAGCUGGAGACAGGAACAAAGAGGUGAAGUAAAGUUUAAUCAUUGCUUUUCGAUGAUUUUUUCUAAACUGCAACCAAUUGGUAAACAGUGGAUCGAAAAAGAAAAAAAAUAGGCUAGAUCCACAUGAACCUCCUGAGAAUAUCCAUAAAAAUAAACACAAUAUUUGGCCUGGAUCGAUGAAAAAUCUGGGUCAACUUACUAGUAAUCGCCUAAUCGGUUUGGAAAAUCGGAGAAGUUCUUUUACCUACAAGCGAGCUACAAGUUUGUUGCUUGUGCAGGUGCUUGUACGUGACAUAUGGGUCUUUGAGAAGUCUCUUUUCCAUACAGGAGCUUACUGGCGGCUCUGUGGGCGGAUCAAAUUAUGAAGUAUUGCAACAUUGUGGACAAAGAGUGUCAACAGUUUCAGACAGAAUAAAAUCCAACAUGUUCCUGGUUUUUGCUGAGUCAGUAAUCUCCUUUACGGUUGUAUUUCUUCUAUUUUUCUCUUACAAUUCAAGCCUGAAUGUUAGUAUCUGAUUAGGUUCCUAGAGAAAUCUACUUUGCUAUUUUGCGAGGUAAAUCAUCGAUACAAGCAAAGAUCAGAAAAAUAUGUGUUGGGUAGUCUCUUUGUAAACCUCAUUGGAACCACUUUCGUUUUUGUUUUUGUUGUGGUUCAUUAGCAGAGACUGGUUUUGUUGCUUCUGUCACUUUCUUUGUUCUCUUCUUCCUUUUAAAUUAUUGGUGGAGUAUUAAUGAAUAAUUAAUUCAUGUAACUAGUGAAAGUAAGGGACCUUUCAGAGGAUAAGAGUUGUGUUGUGUUGAAGGAAAAAAAGAGAUUUUUUUUUUGUUUCCAAAAUUCACAAGUUAUAUCCUCAAACUCAAUUUGUACACAACAGGUCAUCCUACAGAGUACAGGUAAGAAGACAAGUUUCAACUACUUGCCAACUACUCUUCAGGAAAAAAAAAACAAAAUGUUUUAAAUGUGGCCAUAACAAUACUUUAAGAGAUGGCAGAUGGGUAACAAAAAAAGUUUUUGAACUUUUUCUUUGGACAGUGUUCAAAGAGCAUCUUUAAACGUGAAUAUUUUUUUCUUAUAAAUAUUUAGUAAUUUUACUAAAGAGUUAAUUAGCUAAAUAUAAAUAUUUCAAUCAUGAUGAUAGAAAAAAAAAACCAUUUUGGCUAGUUUGACUGGUAUUUAUACCUUUUUUAGUAAAAAAAAUUGCAAUUAUGACAACAAAAUAAAUAUAUCUUUACUAAUCUUCUAUAUAUUUAAAAUAGGAAAGUUCACAUUUUUUUUCAGAUUUUUUAUUUUUAUUUAUUUAAUUUCUUUUGUAACAUUUAUUUGGUUAUAUUAUCUUUUCUGUCAAAGUUUUUGUUCUAUUAUCUUUAGUUUUAAUAUUCUGAAACCAAAAAUCAAACACAUAUUGAAUGUACUCACCAUAAAUAUAUAUAUAUAUAUAUAUAUAUAUAUAUAUAUAUAUAUAUUUCAAAAUUUCAAAAAUUUAAUUUUAUUUAUAAAUAUUUCUUAUGUAUUAUAUUGAUUGAGUUUGAAAUUGAAAAUUAUUCUUUCCUAAUUUUUUUAAACAUCAUUAUUUCCUAAAUUAUAAAAACUGAACCUUAUAAAGUAUAAAAAUUAAACUAUAUAACCUAAAAUUUAUACAAUUAUUUUCCUAUAAAUAAAUUUUUUUUAUCGUAUGACAUUCAACACAAAUAUCAUUCUGCUUAUAAUUUUUAAUACCGAAUGUUACAAUUAUUUCAAAACGAAACAACAAUAUCUUAUAUUUAUCAAAUGUAUAUAUAUUAAUAUAAAUAAGAAUUAACUUAUCAAAUAUAUAUAUAUACUUUUUACAAUAAAUAAAAUUAUUCACAAAACUAAAUAAAAUAAAAUUCGAAAUUGUUUAACUUAAAAGCAACAAUUUCGAUUAAAAAAAAAAACAAAAAAAGAAAUCAAAUCGUAGCGAACUUCUUGAUCCAAAAUAAAAGAAAAACAAAUCUUAGCGAUCUUUGUUUGACUGCGAGCGAAUGGGCAGUGGGGGCGGCAGUGUCUGCUCUUCUCUCUCUUACUCUUCUUCUUCCACUUGCUUUGCUUCUCUUUUCUCUAUUUGUUCUCCUUCAUCUUCUUCGCUGAAACUCAAUCCAAGACGCUUCCUUUUCCAUAACCCUACAAAUCUGAGAAAGCAGGCACCUUUGAGGUGUGGGAGAUCCCCGGAGAUGGAAUCAAAGAAACCCAUUUUCGAUGUGGAAACGUUUGAUGAUGACUUUGUUCAGAAACUGGUUUAUGAUGCUCUCGUUUGGUCUUCUCUUCACGGACUCGUCGUCGGUGACAAAACUUACCAGGUUUUCUAGUUACUUGCCCAACUAAAGUUCCAAUCUUUUGAUCUUGUGUUCCCAUAAAAUCGGAGAAAAAUUCGAAAUUUAUGAUCUGUAUGAAUCGUGUAUAGCUGAAUUGUGUUAGUUUCAUGGUCUUAGCUUUGGAUGCCAUACUUGAUCUGAAUCAAACUUAUAUAUAUAUAUCACUUGUUAUGGAUGGAUUGGUUUUGAUGAGAAUAUUAUGAUUACAGAAAUCAGGAAAUGUUCCAGGGGUUGGAUUGAUGCACGCACCGAUUUCAUUGCUACCAACUGCAUUCCCUGAAAUUUAUUGGAAGCAAGCUUGUGAUGUUACUCCUAUUUUCAAUGAAUUGAUUGAUCGUGUUAGCUUGGAUGGGAAGUUCUUACAGGAUAGUCUCUCUAGGUUCGUUUUUCUUUAAGUCUUUAUCUCGGUAUCUAUCGGAAUCUUUAUGCUUUGGAUUAUAACAAGCAAUGUUCUUUUAUUGAUUUUCUAUGUUCUAGAACGAAAAAAGCUGACGUCUUUACAUCUAGACUUCUCGACAUUCACUCCAAGAUGCUUGAAAGAAACAAGAAAGAGGUAUAUUUCGCUCUCGUCUGGUUUCAUGUUAAGCUCGAUUAUUCGGUUCUGGAUGUUAUUCAUUUGGCUAUGUUUGUGAUUGCAGGACAUUCGUCUGGGUUUGCAUCGGUUGGAUUAUAUGCUUGACGAAGAAACAAAUUCACUUCUUCAGAUUGAGAUGAACACUAUCUCUAGUUCGUUUCCAGGCCUUAGUCGUCUUGUUAGCCAGCUACACCAGUAUACCAUCUUCUGCAUAACCUGUUGUGUUUUUUUUUUUUUUUGCAUUAUACAGCGGCAUAUUAGCUAAAAAGCUUUACUUUUUACUUAUUCCUCUUGUUUGCAGGUCAUUGCUUCGAUCUUAUGGGGAUCAGAUUGGCAUAGACUCUGAACGUGUACCUAGAAAUACAUCCACAAUCCAAUUUGCUGAUGCAAUAGCUAAAGCUUGGUUGGAGUACAAUAACCCAAGGUUAGCCUUAAACAAAAAUUACGUUCUUAAGUGUGGUAAAAAUACUAGAAUCAAGAAUCCAAUUUGCUGAUGUAAUUCAAAGGUUUUUUGUUUAAAGCUAGAGUUUUUCUUGGUUUCAGAGCGGUUGUCAUGGUAACUGUACAGCCAGAAGAACGCAACAUGUACGAUCAACAUUUGCUGAGCAGUAUAUUGAGAGAAAAAUAUCCUCUUUUUAUCUUGUUUCUUUGGUUUCUAGGGGUCGAACUUGACUUUUUAUCCUAUAUUGGUACCAAACAAAGGGUUGUUGUUCUUCCUUAGCUUCAGAACACGCACAAUAUAGUAGCCAUCAGGAAGACUCUAGCAGAAGUCGAAACUGAAGGGAGUGUACAAGAGGAUGGAACCCUUAUUGUGUAAGCAUUUGGUUGCGUUGUGGUUUUUGAGAACUUACACAUUCAUCUUUAAAGCUUUGUUGGAGUUUGUUGUUGCAGUGGCGGCCAAGCAGUCGCAGUUGUUUAUUUCAGAUCUGGCUAUACUCCCAAUGAUCAUCCGUCUGAAUCAGUAAGUUGCCGUCAACUUCCAAUAUUGUGGUUUUACUCUUUGAGAAUAUCUGAAUCAUAUCUUUGGUUUAUUUGUUUCAAUUUGCAGGAAUGGAAUGCUAGGCUGCUUAUUGAGGAGUCUUCAGCGGUCAAAUGCCCGAGUAUAGCUUACCAUUUAACUGGCAGCAAGAAAAUCCAGCAAGAACUGGCAAAACCAGGUGUUCUCGAGAGGUAAAUGGAUCGCCAUUUAUCUUGUAGAGAGGAUGAAACUGAAGACAGUUUCCAAAUAUAUCAAAGGCGAUGACUGUUUUUUAACUUUAAACAUGAGAAACAGGUUUCUGGACAACAAAGAGGACAUUGCUAAGCUGAGGAAAUGCUUUGCGGGGCUUUGGAGCUUGGAUGACCCAGAAAUCGUCAAGCAGGCAAUCGAAAAACCCGGACUGUUUGUUAUGAAGCCUCAGAGAGAAGGCGGAGGUGAGAACCCAAUUGAGUCUCCCUAACGCUUCAACUUUUCCGGUCAUAUUCAAAGCGUAUCUUCUUGGAUUCUUCCAGGAAACAACAUCUAUGGAGAUGAUGUGAGGGAAAAUCUUUUGAGACUGCAGAAAGAAGGAGAGGACGGAAACGCUGCGUAUAUCCUGAUGCAGAGGAUAUUCCCAAAGGUCUCAAACAUGUUCUUGGUGCGAGAAGGCGUUUACCAUAAAAAUCAAGUUAUAUCAGAACUCGGUGUCUAUGGUGCUUACCUCAGGUACAGAGCAGAAAGGAGAAGAAUUUGGUAUGCUUCAUUCAUUCUCUACUUAAUUUUGUGCCAUAAUCUUUGAUUAAAUGAAAUGUGUAGGAACAAAGACAACGUUAUAGUUAACGAGCAGAGUGGUUAUCUAAUGCGCACAAAGAUCGAGUCAUCAGAUGAAGGCGGCGUUGCCGCUGGUUUUGCAGUAUUGGACAGCAUUUAUCUGAAUUGAGAUGGAUCACAUUCACAACCAUCCUGAUCAAUUUUUCUGCUGGUUCGUUCCUUCUUGUUCUUCUUCUUGCUUGUUAAAGAUUUGUGUAUUAAUUCAUGAAGGUCAAUAAGACUCUAGGCAAAGCUCUUACAAUUCUUUCCAUAGGACCGCAAAGCAUAUAUUGCUUAUCGUUAUUUUAGACCGUGUGAGACGAUCAGUCGUUUAAGAUCAUGAAUGGAAUAAGAGAUCAAUCAUGGAAUCUGGGGUGUAUAGGAUUGUUAAGCUUCCCAUUGCAACAUAUCCAACACAUUUAUUCGUUAUUAACACUUACUUCAAAGUGGUGGUUUAGACCAUAUAGGUACAUAUACAUACACAAACAAAUGUUAUGAAUCAACGAAUGUCCGUAUAUCCGAUGCCUCUCCGUUUUGAGGGAAAGAUAGCAAAGAAGAAGCUCGCCAUUGUCAACACCAUAACCGCAAAAUACUUAAUCAAAAGUACGAAAUGACCACCCCAACUGUUUUCAUCGCCCUCCGGGAGCAAACACCUCCGAAAAUCCGAACUCUCUACGGCUAACGCCAAGAACACGACCACUGACACGAAAGCAUGCACGAAAUCCACAAAACUCAGCUUGUAUCUCCUUUUCUUGUCAGCCGUUAAGCCGGAUUCCGGAUCAUAACCGUCCUUGGGAUAGUCGUUGAGGAUGUAGAGACCGUUCGAGGUGGCAAUUCCGUAGUAAAUGCGGCCAUCUUGGCCUACAUAUGAGUCGGUGAAGGAGGAGAAGAAGCAAGCCGCGGCGCAAAAGGAGAUGAGGGAAAUGGUGAGGAGUUUAUUGGCGGGUUUAUUGUUGCACUCGCCGCCAUUGGAGAAAGACGGUAGUAGGGUUUCGAAUAUGAGGGCGGUUCCGGUGGGCAAGAGGUUGGCGAAGUUUCCGGCGGACGGUAGAGAUCUAAUGAACGACGCCUCCAUUUUGUAUUUUGGUCCGGAGAGGGGAAAGUUUGUAUGUUAUACGGAGAAAGAGUGUUUUCUAUGUUCUUCUAUACGUAAUGCAUGCAUGCGUGAGGAUACGUUAGAUGCGUCCUUAUAUACAUUUCUUAAAGAUAUCGAGUUUUUUUGGUGUCCUAAUAUUAAUAUGUAAUAUUUAUUUUGUGUUAUAAAAUACAUUUGUACACAUUUUGUCAGAAAAAAAAAACUAUUUAUAAUUAAAUACAAAUUUUGAUAACCUUUUUUUAUUUAGAAGUUUUGAUCUAUUGGAACUUAAUUACUCCUUUGGCUGGUCGUUAAUGGAAUUGUGGUGCAUCAAGAUAUUAAGUAAUGGUUUAAGUUUUCUCGUUUUUUUUAGUUUAAAUCUUAAACAGUAAAAUUACUUUUAUGAAAGUGAUAUUCUUACAAAAUUAGAUUUCUUAUAUUUGCAAAAAAAAAAACUAAAACGUAAUAAUUGGAGAAUGUGCAUGUUCUAUGAGAUUGAGUCCAUUAAGCGACAUCUUGCACGGUUGUACCUAACUCAUUUUGGUGACUCUGUCUUACAAAAUACAUCAAAUUGUAUAAUACAGAAGACAUGUAACGUCUAAUUAAUGGUCUUUCUUUUAAAGUAUUUAACUUGUAUUCUAUAUUAUGUAGUAUUUUUUUUUUUUUUCACUGAAAGAUUAUAUAUAAUCAAAGAGUUUUACACAUAAGCCGGCAAGAAACAUAAUUAUUCCGGAGACAAAGAGCCGGCGAGUUUAACUAAAACCCCCAGAAACAAGAGCCGAGUUUAACUAAAACCCCCAGAAACAAGAGCCGGUGAGUUUAACUAAAACCCCCAGAGACAAGAGCCGGCGAGUUUGACUAAAACCCCCAGAAACAGGGCCCCACAAAAGGGAAAACAAACAGAGGAAUUAAAACAAAAUCCAGCAUACAGGAAAGCAACUUAAGAUUCCACAGAAGCAACACUGAAACCUCUUGCACACAAAUGACCGAUAAGCAUUUCCAUAGAACCAGAUGAUGCCAAAGAAGAGCUACAAACAUGAGCCUUGAGCAGAACCCAUCAUUAGAUUGCCUCCAAAACUGAAAGCCCGAGAAGGGAACAAAAGCAAACCCACACAGCCACAACUAUGGCAGAAACGAAACAGGUGCAGCAAGGAGAAGACUAUAUUAUGUAGUAUAACUAAGAGAAAAUCUGUAUGAAAAUUUAACCUUGUACAAAAAAAAAAAAAUGUAAGAUUUUUUUUUUGAUAAAGAAAAAUGUAAGAUGUUACUAAUGUUGGAACUUGUUUUUUGACGAAGUGGUUUUGAUCACUUUCCGGUAGAUUUUUCGGUAAAGACGUUCAUCGGAAUGACCGUUUCUUGGGCAUGAUGUAAUCAUCGCUGCGUGCAUUAUACAGUAGUGUAUUUGAAUGUCAAAAACGAAGUUUGUAUGAAUGAGAAAUGGAUGUCCGAAGUGGGUAGCUUGUAAAGCUUGAAAUUUUGACUUUGAAUCAAAUGGCCUACUUCGGAAGUUAAAGGAGAAACCCAAUUACACAUGGGCUGUAUUUGGGAUUUGAAAAAUGGAAAAUGGGCUUAUAAGCCAUAAGAUUAUUCUUAUUUUUCUAAAUUGUUUUGAUUAAAUUUGUUAAUUAAAUUAAUAAAUAUCUCCUUUAAUAUUAGGUUUUGUAACAACAAAAUCAAUCAAUGACAAUUAAGGAGGAAUAAUUAUUUUGACUUUGAAAUUGAAAAUCAAUUCUCAUAAGUAUCGUAUCCUCCUCUUAAUUUUGUGUACGUUGAGAUUUUGGGUAUAAAACGAUGGCCAUUGUUUCUCAUUUAGACACACGUUCACCAACAUAAUCUCCUUCCUUUUCUUCUCUUCUCUAGUUCGAGUCUGAGAGUACAACACAAGGCUAGUGUUCGAUUAGCUUUUGAUUUGAGUGUUGCGAAUCAAAAGAAGAAACAGUUUUAUCUUAGGACUCUAAUUGUCAUCAAACCAUUGCACUACAGGGCGAUUUUUGAGUUAAGGAGAGAGAUCAUCAAAGUUCUCGACUCUGUUUACCACCGUCAAUCUCCGUUCCUCAAUCAUCCUUUUGGUAUUGUUGAUUUUCGAUACUUGUUCUAUGUUAAUUUCUUUACAAAUAUCAAAUUGUGCCUAUGUUGAAAUAUUCAGGUCCUACAACUAACCUCAGACAUUAUGAUACAUAGUAAGCCACCUAGCCCUAUUGCACACAUAACGAUCAAACCCUUUUUCAUCCUUAGAACCAAGGAUGAAAAACAAAAAAAACCAUGGAGAAAACAUUAUAAAUAUUCAUCUAAUGAAAUUUCCAGUUGCAAGAUGCAUAAACAUUAAAAUAAACAACGAACAGUGGUCUUCUUAGAAACGAGAGCAAACGUUUCAUUAUUAUCUAAUCCUUGUUCUUGAUGAUUACCGAGAAUAACAAGCCUCACUACGUAACAUUUCAUUAUGUCAUCAUAUUUAGCUUAUAUAACCUGCGAAUGCCUUCUUAUCAUGUGACCAGUUAAUAGGCGUCCAAGUCUCAUUGUCUUUAAAAGCUUUGAUCUCGAUCGACAGCCAUUGCAUCUUUUCAUUUGGGAUAUUGCAUAGCUUAUUAGAAUAUAGACUUCGAAGUCAAAACUAAUUGACAAUAAGUGGAUUGGUCCAUAAAUUUUAUAUAUUAGUCAAAAUCCUUUUUUCUUUCUACGGUGGGAUAUUUUUAUCCCUAAUAUGCUCCCUCGAGAUGAUGAAUUUUCUAGUCAUUGAUCUCUAUAUGAUCGGACAAAGAUCGACGGACCAACUGUUGGGUUGGGCCGAUUGUGGAUUUGGACACAUAUGGAUCAGACUCUAAUACCAUAUUAGAAUAUGGUGGGUUUCCAACUCAAAACCAACUGGUUAUGAUGGAUUGACCCAUAUAUCUUAUAUACUAGUCAAGAUCCAUUGUCUUUUCCAAUGUGAAAUAUUAUUAUCACUAAUACUGUGGUCAAAAAGCCUUUGUAGGCAUUUGAAUAAAUAUCAAUAAAAUUAGUUGGAGCUAAAAGUAUGAUAUUUACGUUGACUUUUGUGAAAUAUGUAACAUAUGGCUCAAGCAUCACUAAUUUUUUAUGAGAAAAUUUAAGAAUUAGCCACUUUUAGGAGGUCUAAUUUGAAGAGUAAACACUUUUAAAAAAUAAUUUGGAGGAUAAACAUUUCUCUCUCUCUUCUCUAUUAGAUGAGCUUUUGUGUAAUGAUAUACUUACCCUUUUUUCUUGGUUUGUAAAUAUAUUCUCCAAAAGACUGGGCUUAAUAAAAAUCUACUGACUAUCAAAUUAUUUGGGUCUAUCUAGGUCAACAAACAACACAUUGUACAAAACAUAACAGAGGAUAAACACCAACAUAGUGUACAAGGCUAUCCAGUGUACAUUCAUUUCCAAUGUACAUGUAAAUCAAGUAUACCGACUAAACAAGGGACAUACAAACCAUGUGUAAAGAGCCUAUCUAGUGUACAUGAAAAUUAGUGUAUAAGCAUAUCGAGUAUACAUACAAGUUCGACAAACAAAUCUAAUGUACAUACUAAACAGUGGACAAUUACCAACAUAGUGUAUAUACAUUUCCAUUGUACAUGCAAAUCUUGUGUACAGACUAAACAUGGUAUACCCAAUAUACAUGAAAAUUCAAUGUACAUAUUCAAUAAUCGACAUGCACAUCGAAUGGAUAGACACAUAAUAAUGGGUAAUCGUUUGAGCCAAAUACACAUCCUAUUAUCUAAAUGAGCCUCGUUGUAUUUAGAAUUGACCCAAUACUCAUAAAAAUCAGGACCCACACCAACAUAUCUCUCUAUUAGACACGGAAUACUUUGGUCUUUGAUAUAUUAUUUUGUCUCUUACUCUAUUACACAAACACUUUGAUGUCCUACGGUCGUGUGGGACACAUAUAUCAGGUUUUAAAAAUCCCAAAUAACACGAUCAAUAAGCUGUAAGUGCACAGCAGUCAAUCGUAGUACUUAGGGUAUCGAAUCCACAGAGAGAGAAGUAGUUCGGACAAGCUUCUUAAGACAAAGUAAAGCUAGGACAAAACAAUAAAGGGGAGUUGGUUGUGGUGUCACGAAUGCAAGUAAAAGUAAAUGAGAAAGCAAUAAGAAAGCAAAGCAGAAAGCAAGUAAAUAACAUAAGAAAACUAUGAGAGACAAAUGUUGGGCAUCAAGGGUAUCGCAGGGGGUUCAAUGAUCGCUAUCUAGGUAAUAUUAGAAUUAGGUUUGUUUACUUCCAAGUCUCGUACAUACGAAACACUAGGAUUCGGCUAACCCUAUGUUAUAGAAUUAGUCGGCUAAAAUCCUUAUACUCUGUUACUCAACUAACGCAGGCAACAACGCAUAUAUCAAAGCAAUAAGAUCAAGUUCGAUUCUAGUCCAUAAAGCCCUAUAACUAAGUGGUGUGUGCUUGUUAUAACACGAUACACAUUCGUAAGCUAGGGAGCAUAUUAAACAACCUUGUGAGCAAUUUAAACACUUGUGAUCACGAGUUAGGACAUGAAUCUAACUACAUGCAUUAAGAAACAACUGACUUAGAAAGAAUACAGUGUAAACGAUCAAACGAAGCCCUAGAUAUUGCCACCUAAACGAUCGGCCAUAUUCCCCCCUUUGAUUAACCCUUUAAAACCAACUAGAAAACUACUCUAGCAUGGUUAAAGAGAUCAUCAAAGUAAGGUUUGAUAAACUCAUGAGAAAGAAAAGAAUAAGAACUGAAUAGGGUUUAGAAAUUACUUCUUUGAAUGGAGACUACAAGAGGUAAGACUUCACCUUAAUAGAUUUUAGAGAGAACAAUAGAAAAGAGAGAGAGAUUUGGUGAUUCUUCAAAGCUUCAAUGGACGACGGCUGCAGCUCACGGCGAGGGCAGAGAGGGCUUGAGAGGCACUUCGAAGACACGUGAAGGCACACUUAGGUUUAGGGCUUUCAACCUGUAUUUAUAGGUUUCGGGAACCAAAGAUUAGGUCAAGGGGCAAAAGCGUCUUUUUCCGUAGAUUAGGUUUAGUGCAACUCGCGUCUCUGGACAGGGUAGAAGCUUUAGUGACCGGGGUGGAGAGUAAGAGGCAGCCCGGGCUCGGCCCAAGUGACCGGGGUGGUCAGGAAGCUCCAAAACGGUUGCACAGCUUCUGGCCGGUCUGGACAUAUCUUCACUCUUCUGGUCAUAACUUUUGAACGACUCGAUGAAAAGCUCUGAUUCCACUUCGAGGUGAAUCUUGACUCUUCUAGCUUUCCAAAGCCACUGAGAUCUCUUGAUUUAGUAACAGGGAUGACCUCGAAAGGAUGCCAUACUUAUGACGUACAGAAACUGUCUUGAAAUGGGUUUUGAUCACCUUUUGGUCUUUAAAGCUCAGAAACUCUUAAAACCUUCUUGGCUCCAUAAAUACUUGAAUAUCUCCCUCUUAGCUCUGAAAUUACUCCAAAUGCUCCCUAAAACAUAAGAAAAAAAUAACAAAUAUGGGCAAAAAUCCCAUGUUAUCACACUUUAUCUCACAAAAAGCAGAAAAUAUCUAUUUCUCAAAUUACCUUUUUAGAAAAGGGAAAAAUGUCAUUUAAUAGCCCAACUUUCAAAUUGUGGCCGUUCUCUACACCAACUUCAUAUAUGGCCAUUUUAAACAUGAAGAUAUCGUUGACCAACUGUUUGAACCAUGAACAUUCCGUUGACCAGGCCAAAAAAACUAACCGUUACCAAUCGUUAACAGAUUAUCUAACAUCCGUUAACACCUCCGUUAACCAUCCCAAAACGACGUCGUUUUUGUCUUUUUAAAAAAAAAUUACAAAUGUCUUUUUUAAAAAAAAUUACAAACAUGGGAUUCGAACCUCUUACCUUUGAGAAAAACCAAAGGUUACUUAACCACCUCACUUGUACAAUUUUAUUGGUAAUUCUACAUAAACACAUGCACUUAUAUAUUCUUAGAGCUCUUCUUCUUCAUUUUUAACGAAACAAAACAUCUCCAUAGUAAAGCUUGCAUUGAAGAACACCUCCGAUUUUGAACACUUCGAGGUUUUUGAUGAAGCUUGCAUAACCGGUAGAACUCCAUGGAAGGCAUUGUUAGCUAGAUUCAAGUGUGUGAGAUACUUAACCUUGGAGAUGAAUCUUGGAACGGUGCCGUUUAGUUGGUUUCCACUCAGAUCUAAGUGUGUAAGCUCUUGAAUUGAGGAGAUUGGAUCUGGGAUUGGUCCUGAUACCUUUUUGAAUGAUAAAGAUAGGUAUUCUAGUGAUAUUAGGUCGUCGAUUGAAUCGGGUAUGUCGCCGGAGAUAGAGUUUUUGGAUAAAUUUAGAGACUUUAGGUUUGAGAACAGAGUAAUGGAAGUGUGUAUUGAGCCUUUGAGUAGAUUGUCAGAUAAAUCGAUGAAAGUGAGAUUUGAGUGGAAAGAUUUUGGGAUGAUUCCGGAGAGAUUUGCGUGAGAGAUUGUCAAAGAGACGAUCUUGUUCAUGUUUCCGAUGAUAACGAAGAGACCAGAGGUUGAGAAGGGAACAGAGGAGAUUGUGAGGUCAGUGAGGUUAACGAGACGAGCUAGGAAGACUCCGGAGAGGCCAUUACGACGGCGGUUAAAGAUGUUUGUUUCGAAGGUUGAAGAUGAAGAAGAAGAGCUCUAAGAAUAUAUAAGUAUAUGCAGGGGCGGAGGGAGAGAAGAUUCAUAGGGGUCAAUUGACCCCGGUGAAAUUUUAAAAAAUAGUUUAAUUCUUAUAUGAAAAAAUUAUUGACCCCAAUCCAAUAAAAAUAUUGACCCCUAUAAAAAAAAUUAUGUUACAAACCCAAUAAUUACACUAUACUUAUAGAUAAUAUUAGUCUAAUAAAAUUUAUUUUAAGUAAAUCUACUACAAUUAUAAAGUAAUAUAAUAUUUUAACAUUUAUUUUGACUUGAUCUAAAAACGUUUUACUUUCUUCUUCUUUCUUCUUUGUGUUUUUAAUCAAUUUUUGAUUAUGUGAUGGUGGAAAUAAGAAAACAUCUUUCACAUCUUUUAGUAUAUCGACUUAUGAAGCUAUCUUUUAUGCAUUUUUUAGAAAAAAAAAAAUAUUUUGACCCCGAUGAAUAGAUUUUCUGGCUCCGCCACUGAGUAUAUGAAUUUUUGUAUAAAUACCAAUAAAACGCUACAGGUGAGGUGGUUAAGUAACCUUUGGUUUUUCUCAAAGGUAAGAGGUUCGAAUCCUAGGUUUGUAAAUUUUUUUAAAAAGACAAAAACGACGUCGUUUUGGGGUGGUUAACGGAGGUGUUAACGGAUGUUAGAUAAUCUGUUAACGAUUGGUAACGGUUAGUUUUUUUGGCCUGGUCAACGGAAUGUUCAUGGUUCAAACGGUUGGUCAACGAUAUCUUCAUGUUUAAAAUGGCCAUAUAUGAAGUUGGUGUAGAGAACGGCCACAAUUUGAAAGUUGGGCUAUUAAAUGACAUUUUUCCGUUUAGAAAAUGUAUACUUCUCAAAUUACUUUCCAAAAAGUAUCUACUAUACCAAAAAAAACCUUUUUUCUUAUCACAAAGACCAUAAUCCAAAUUUUCAACAGCCGGAGCCAGCAUAAGUUCGAUGUCCCUAGCUAGAAUAAAUAAAGUUCUUUUUCAUUGGCUCAAGUACAAUAGAAGAAUGUGCUAAUGAAAAAGCAACAUGAGAUGAAGAAGGAAAAAUCUAAGCAAUAACAGCUAAAGAAAAUACAUAAUACCUCGAAUCAGAAUCAUACAUACUUCCUCAAUUUGAUGAAUCAAAUGAGGAGACAAUUACCAAAAAAAUUAUUAUCGCCUUUAUCAACUAUCAAUGAUGUAUGUGGAACAACAUAGAUGACAAUAUUGAUGCAAAUGUGAUGAUGUCUUCAUUAAAAGUAAGAAAUAAAAUAUUCUUAAAACUCCAAAUCAAAUACAUCCUAACUGUGUGAAGUAUAAUAAUAACUGAGAAACAAGUAUCUACAUAUUCGACACUGAUACUUUCUCUAAUUUGCAUUGACAAUUAUCGACACACACAAUAUGAAGUAAGUUUAGGGUGAAUUAAAAUACUAGACCUAACAGGGAUAGGCCUAACUCAAUAAAUCCCAAUUCAUGUAAGUGUCAAUACUGAAGACAUUUCAACCCUUCAAAGGCUCAAACCCAUUUAACAAAUGUUACACAAUAUAGCCAAGAAGAUAAACAAUUCUGAUGGCCAUUAGAUCUAAUACCAAACUUGACAUGUUUAGAGUAAAUAUAUUAUUUCAUAUGCAAACUCAGUCUUAGAUUUCGAUUUUGUAACUUUUUUUUGUUAAGUUCUGUUCAGUUUCAUUUGAGAAUAGGUUUAUCGAAAUACAUUCCUCCUAAUAAUCAGUUAUUUUGGUGAUCCGGAUACUUCAUCCAACAAAAAUCAGUUCGUGUUUAUUUUGAAAAGAAUUAAUUACGGAUUUUGCCCUUUUUUAUAAUGGCAUUUAUGGAUUUUGCCCUUUUUUGAAUACUUUGUGGAUUUUGUCCUUUUUUAGGCUCCAAAAAUAUGAUUUAACAUGCGUUUCAUUCGUUAUGUUUGGGUUUAGUCGGUUCCAUUUGUUCUUAGGGUUUAGUAUUUGGUAUAAUGUACGUAUUUUUGCAAAAAAAAUCAUAAAUACGUACAUUUUUAAGUGUUAAAAAAGGGCAAAAUCCGUAAACUAUUAAAAAAGGGCAUUUUCAUAAGUUUUUUUUUAAAAAGGGCAUUUUAGACAAUAAUCCCUUUUGAAAAUUCAACAUACAUAAACAAAAAUGCAUUAUUGGUGUCUAUAACUCUACCGGUCGACUUUGAGAUCUUUUGAAACAUGACCAAAUCAUGGGUUUGAAUCCUUCCAAUAUCUUUAAAUAUAUAUAUAAACUAAUUUAUCUCAUUAAAGUUUCUGACAAAAAAGACUAUGGACAAAAGUUAUAAUAUUUUUUUAAGAGCAUCUCUAACUCAUCUCUAUUUUUAUCUCUAUACUCUAUUUUAGAGUAAAAUCUAUUUCAACUUCUAUCUCUUUUCACCUCUAAAAUAAAGUUCUAAAUUUUUUGCUCUGUUUAUAGAGGAUCUCUAUUUUUCUUCUAUAAUAGAGUUAAAUUAUUUUAUUUACAAAGUAGUCCUUUAACUUUUAACUUUUUUUUAUUUAUAAUUAAAAUAAAUAAAAUUAAUAUUUUGGAUUGACUAUUGAGGUUUUGGUAUAAAUAUCUAUUCUAAAAUUUGUGACUACUAUUUGCAAAAGAGAAAUUAUAUAAUGUCUUAUAAAUAUAUGAAUUAUAUAUUUUAUUUUUAUUCAUUCAAUAAUAAUUAUUUUUAAUACAACUAAUUACUUAAUAUAUGUGUAUGAUGUAAUGCAUUUUUUAUGAUAAAUUUUUAAUUUAAAUAAUAUCAUAAUUUUAUUAAGUUUUUGUAAAAAUUAAAGUAAAUGUGUUAAUUAUAAAUUUUAUAAAUUAAAGGUAUUAAUUUCAAAAUAAAAAUGGAAUCUAUUUGGAAUAUGUUUUUAGAAGAAAAAAAUAGCAGAAUAUAUUUUUAUUAUAGAGUUUCUUUAUUUUAGAAAAAAUAUAAAAAUACAUUGAAAAUUGUCUUAAAUAUAAUUGUGGUUUCACUUAGUUAAUAUUGUGAAUUUGAUUAGUUUAGCGUUGGGACAGUGGUGAAAAGUCAUCCCCUUCUAAAAUAAACUAUUAAAAUGGGUAGUCUAUUUUUCAAUUUUUGGUUGGAAAUGAUUUCUCUAUCUUGGCCUAGUAAGUAGUAAUCCUUGUUAAAUGUUAACUACCAUAAAAAUCACAAUAAUAUGUAGUUCUAGUUUAUUUUGUAUCCUGGCUGUACAAAGAAAAAUAGUACAAUAUAUCUUGGAUUAUGAAAAAAAUAUGUAUAUGAUAAUAUUAUACAAACUUGGUCCUUAUUUUUUUUUGGGAAAAUCACAUUUUUAACCAUUAAAGUGUCAUUGGGUAGCACUUUAAACCUAGAAAUAAUUUCACUAAUACUAUAAACCAUCAAGAUAAUUUACUAACAUUUUAAACUUCCAAAGUAGAUUUUCUAUUUCCACCGCCAUAAAAAAUGAUGGAACAGUUAAUUUCUAUUUGUUUAAUAUAAACUUUUAAAUUUAAUUUAAUUUUAUUAUUUAUUAAAAUUAAUAAAAAAUCUAUAUAAAAAAAACUUCAUUUUCUUCGUUUACUCAUCGUCCGAUCAUGAAAUGUCGACGCUUAGCGGGAAAACAAACCAUUCUUCGUAUCGUAGGUAAUAUAUUGGGAGAUUGAUUCAAAAGCAUUUUCACUCUCUAGUGGACAAAUUUGGAUCUCAUAAUACUAAUUGCAACAAAAACGUGUGGCCUCUUAUCCAUGCCAUUAAAGUUCGGUUAAAAUACUACCGAUGACACUUUAAGGGUUAAAAUGUAAUUUUCUCUUUUUUUUUUUUGUGACAAUGAACAAACGUGUACUUCUCAUGAUUAGCAACAAUUAAUUAUUUAUUUUGACAUCAUGCAAAUUAAAUUGAUGGAAAGUGCGAUGUAUAUUCAGAAUGUUGUAUAUAAAUUUGAACUAUAUGUCAUUUAUUAGUGUUGUGAAUGUUAUGAUAGAUGAUCUUUGUGACGUUGAAAGAAACAAUAAUUGAUUUUUGUAAAAUGCAUUUAAAAACUUUCUUUACAACAACAAAAACAAAUAGAAGACUCCGGAUGAUAGAUAUAUAAGAUUAAUUGCUUCCAUCAGUUAGGUUUUGAAAGUGACCAACUCAUUAUUCACUCACUAUUCACUAUUUUUGUUUAUUCCAUUAACUAAACAGUAGACCAACCAAAAAUUUUAAAAGAAUGGAUUUGAUUGAUAAUCUCGUUUAAACAAAACAGUAUAACCCAUUUUAGUAGUUGUCAAAAAGACGAUUAAAAAAUAAGACACCAAAAAUAGUAGAAAAAACUAUUAAAUCAAAAAUGAAAUAAAUAUUUGCUAUGAUUUUUGACAUGUAGUUGAAAUGGAAAAUUAAUUUUUUUAAUAAAUAACAUAUAAUUAUUAAAAGAUAAAGAAUUUAUAUUCUAUUGAAACCAAUAGAAAUAAACAUUUUUCAAAAUUAUAAGAUAAUCUUUGCUUUUUAUUUAUUUUAAUCGAUGACCUAGUUAUCCAAAUAUUUAACUCUUCUUAAUUUUUUAGUUAGUGAACGAUGUCUGCAUUUUUUUUUUACAUUUCCAAUUUUAGGGAUAGAAUACAAAUGAGCAUAGGCCGUGUUUUAUAUCACGGGAACAUACAUAUACAAUAAGUUCUAAGUAUAAGAACAACUAAAAUAGUGAUUACAUAAUGAAUAAAAUGAAAAAAUUUCUUAGCACAAUAUCAUAAACUGAUUUUAAUUAAUUAUCUAAAAAUUUGACAUUUCAAUCUAUGUUUAAUUUAUUCCGUCAGGUUGACGAAUAAGCGAAGCUUGUAUUUCUUCAAGUGACAAUCCUUUUGUUUCCGGAACGAGCAACCAAAUAAAAAGCAAUGCUACUCCUCCGGUUGCCCCAAAUACGUAAAAUGUUCCUGUUACAUUGAUCUAAAUUAUUAACUUAUACUACUUGAUUGUGUCCCCUAAUUAUAACAAAAAGAUUUCAAACAUAAUCUAACUUUUUUUUUUUAAUUCGGUCUACUCUCGAAAAAAAUAAAGUAUAACUGUUGAUAGGCUUUAUAAUUAUGCGAAUUACAUAAAUUUUCUAGACUUAACCUUUGGUUUGGAUUUGCAGUUAAUAUAAGAUUAGAUUAGAACUGACUUGUCCAACAUUUACAACAAAUAUUUAUCCCAACAAACAUCUAAACUAAUCAGUCUUUCAAUAUUCGGUUUCAUAUGAAAAAUGAAUAUAUGCAUUAUAAAAUGGAUAUAGGUUUUAUAAGAAUGCGAUAAAUACAAACUGUGGGUGAUAAAAACAAAAAAAAAAAUUCUGAAAACUAUUUUUUAUUUUCUUCUACACAAUCAUUGAUUUAGAUUUAAUUUUUUUUUUUACCUAGAUAAUUUAUAACCCAUAACCUAAUUAAUGAAACUUAUAAAAUUGUAGUUUUAAAAAAUGGUAAAGAAGAAAAAACAUACCUUGGAGCAAUUGUAGUUUUAAAAAAUGGUAAAGAAGAAAAAACAUACCUUGAGUGCUCCACUCGAGCAGAAAGUUGAAAGCGUAAGUGACGAUCGAACUACUUGACCAUGAUACUAACGUAACUAUACUUCCUGCUGUUACUUUUAUAUUCAUUGGAAAUAUCUGCACACAACAAAAAUUAUACAUAUAUUAUGAUUAUUAUUGAAACUUAGAAUUCUACAAUGUGCAAUGAAUUUUUUUUUUUUUAACUCAUACAUAUAUUACUUAAUUCAGAAAACAUUUACUUAUUUUCUGCAAUGAAAAUAAAAGUGGAGUUAAAUUAUGUACCUCGGACAUAAUUACCCAAGGAAGGCCUCCCAUGCCUAUUGCAAAAGUUCCAAUAUACAGCUGCCAAUAAAGAAAAAUCAAUAUUUUAGAGAAAAAGACAAAAAAAUGUUUAUUGAUGUGAAAGUAGAUAAAAUGUUUUACCGUAACGCAUAUAAACGUGAAUACUGGAGUUAGUUCUUGUAGCAAUUGCAUUUUCUGCUCAAACCAUAAUAAUAUUCAAAAAGAAAAAUAGAUAAAUAAUUUACAUUACAUUAUAAAAGGACUCUAUAAUAAAUAAUAAUAAUAAUAAUCUAUAAUAAUAAUAAUAAUAAUAAUAAUAAUAAUAAUAAUAAUAAUAAUAAAUAUUUAACAUAACCUGUAAUGUGAAGGCGACUCCAAUAAGCAUGGAAGUUAUACACAUCCCAGAUACAGAAGUCUAUAUGUCCGAAUAGGAGGAAACAAAUCAAUAUCAAAAUAGAUUUUUAAAUAAUUUGCUGGUAGUAGUAAAUAAUUUUGUUAUAAGAAAACAAAUUGGGAAAAAAAAUUGUAAAUGUGUAAUAAGAAAAGAAAUGUUUUAAAGGUGCUCACCAACAAGAGAGGCCGUCUGCCCCAUUUAUCAACAAGAAUGACACCAAUCAUGGCUUUUGGUAUCUGAGAAUAGUUCAUUGAAUUUUGAAAGUUUAACAAAAAUAAAUGUCGAUUUAAACGCCAACAUCAUAAAUGUGUCAUUCUGCAUCCAAGUAUACUUACCAUGAAGAGGCCUAGCAGUGUCGAUCCAACGGUCACCGAAAAACCUGUUUCAACCCAAAACAAUUAGUUAAGCAAACGCUGUCAAAAAAAAAAAAAAAAAUAGUUAAGCAAAUAGAAAAAAAUUAAAACUGUAAGAGAACUCAAAUCAAUAUUUUAGUUUUCAAAAAAAAAUCUCUUAAGUAUUUAUAGAGAUAAUGGUAUCUGAAUGCAAAAUCAAUAACAUAAGUAGAGAAAAUAUAAGUAUUUCUUAAAAAGUCUCACAGAAUUUGGAAAAUAUAUGUAGGUACUUUCACUUGCAUAUAUAAGAGUAAUAGAGUUAGACAGAUUGUUGUAUGUUAGUGUCUGUGUAUAAAUAUUUACUGUGUUUUUUGUCAAUGUAUUGAUAAUUAUUUCUAUUGCUGACAUCUUACUAUAAAAAGUAUGGACGAUUUGUGCAGAGACAAAAAUGGAGCUUCUAAUUAGGAAAUCGACAAAAGUCGAUUUUUUCGGAGACAAAAAGAAAAACAGCGUUACAAAGGACCUUCAGUUCAAAAAGAAUUACAGAAAAACCAGAUGUAUACGCACCCAUGCGCGUGGGAUUCUCGGCUUUGACUUUUUGGCAAAAAAGAAUGAAGCGACCGUUAAUAAAUGCUCUGCUACGAACUGACCUUUACGCUACAAACAUUUAAUAAUAGACAGACUAACAUUAAUUCUUGUUUUUUUCAAACUGGGAAUAUAUUAGCACGCUACAAAUAUAUAUUAGACGAUUUUGAAAUUUGUACACAUGUAAACACAUGUAUAGAGCGCUAAAAUUAAUUCUAGUGUUAAGUUAUUGGAUCUAUGUUUACAUGUAUAGAGCGUUAUUAACAUUUGUAUACACGUAAACAUGUACAUGAAUCAUUAUUGACAUUUGUAUGCAUGUAAACACAUGUAUAGAGCGUUAUUAACAUUUGUAUAUAUGUAAACACUUAUAUAGAGCGAUAUUAAUAUUAGUAUACUUGCAUAAACACUACAAACAUAACGAUAAUCACUGUAUCCCAAACCUUUGAAUGGAGCAAGUGAAUAAUACAUUGUAAUUGGACAUUGAAAUAUGAUUGGAGUCAUAAAUUUCAUCAAGUUUUCGAUUGAUUUUCACCGGUUUUUGUUGAAUUUUUACCGGAUUUCUUCGAAUUAUCACCGGAUCUUCACCGGAUUUCAUCAAACUGUCAUUGUAUUUUCAUCAGUUUUUGUUAAAUUGUCACCGGAACUUACAAAGAUUCAUCAUAAUAGCAACACUAAUUGUGUUGAAUUUAAAGUGUUGCGAUUACAGUGCGGUGCUCUGUUCGAUCAUGGCUCAAUAUAAACGAUGGCAGCACACGAGGAAGAUAACAUGUAAGAAAUAUACAUAGAUCUAUAAAGAUUUUUAGAUAUUCAUGCACAACAUAUUGAUGUCUCAUGUAUUAAAUCAUAUCAUGUUGAAUGGAAACACGCGUGAGGCUAUUUUUGGCAAAAAGAGGGGCUAAAAUUUUCUUUCUUUUCGGUUCCAACAAAAAAUUAUGAAAAACUAAAUAAUGUCCAGAUCUCUGUCUCUCACCCAAUUAUCUCUAAAAAGUAAUAAAACUUAAUCUUACCAGCUUUUCUUAAAAUGGUACUUGCAUAAGAGAGUACAGCAGAACUUCCUGAAAACUGUUGUAUCAACAUUAGCCCGAUUCAGAAACCGGAUCACAAAGUGGAUAGAUAAACAAGUCAGAAACCGGAUCACAACUCUUCGACGUAUGGGAGACAGAAGAUACGACGAGGCGUACCAAAUGUGGCUAGCUACUCGGAGCUAACACGUUCAAAUUCUCAUAGAAUUCUUAUCAGUUAAUUUUUUCAACCCUAUCUCAAACUCACGCCGCACUUCGUUGUAAAAACGUUUAUUUUUUCUUUUGAAUAUAAUUUAACAUUAAAUUCAAAAAAAAAAAAAAAAAAACAUUAGCCCGAUUCCUACCUGAGAAAUUAAUUUUCAAACAAACAAGUCAAUGCUUGUGUAGAUAAAUCUGGAAAUUAAUUAUGUACUUAUUUUUUAACGUAUAUUUCACUGUACCACGAGAGUAUAUCUAUACUUUCUCUGAAACAAAUCACAAAAACUCGACUUUGAAUCAUUUUCUACUAUUUUGGUCAUUACCUGAAAAUAAAACAAAAAUCAUUGAGAGUUUACAUUGUUUUAUUUGUGAAGGAAUAAAUACAUAUUCUAAUUAACUACUUUAUAUAUGAUAAUAUCGUAUUAUAAAACUCACUUGAAUGUCUGAGGCUUCACGUGAAAUAUCAGCAUCUCUCCCUCUAAGCCGAAGCAGUGAAUUUUCUAGUUCUUUAUCUGUACCAACUUUUGCCUUCAAAAAGUAAAAUAGUUUAGUUUCAUUUUAUUUCUUCUCAUGGUUGAUAAAUUACGUAAUGUGAAAUCUUAUAAAAAAAUUGACCAACCAGCCAUCUUGGGGACUCUGGUACGAAGAAUAAACCGAUUACUUGAAUGAAGCAUGGUAAAGCACCUAAACCAGAAAAAAUUGUAUAUUUACAAGAUAUUAAGAUAAUUUGUAUACUCUUGUAAUAUAAUAACUCAAUCUUUUCCACAAUAUUCCUGCUAUUUAAUCAUUUUUACGGUAUCUAAUUUAGUUUUUCUACAUUAAAUAUGAAAUAAUAGUUGUACUGUUAAAAAUCCUACAUUAGUAACAUUUACCUAAUAGAGCCAAUUUCCUCCAGUUGAGAAAAUUCCCCGAAAAAUAAACCAUGGCGAGUCCAGAGUUUUGAAGAAGCUAAUAAUCAAUCACACCAGAAUCAAAACGGGUCAAUACUCAAGAGAAAGCUAACAAGUAUUAUAUAAAAUUUUACAAAUACGGAUUUCGCUUUAACAUGUUAAUCAAUUAUGAGACAAACUAAGUUGCUAAAAAUUUUACAAAUUAAUUCUACUUGAGAUUUUUUUAAGAAAAACCAUAUUUUCUGACGUUCUCUAUAGUAUAUAUGAAGAUAGAUAUGUGACAAUGAACUUUUGGGUUUUGAGAUUAUUAUUUACUCAAUUUUGAUGGAAUAUUUUCUCUUAUACUGUCGAGAUCAUUGUUAUGUUCCCACAGUUGGUUAUUUUUUGUUUAGUUCCAGCAUAAUUUGGUCACAUGGGUGAGAGAUUGGAAAAACGGCCCAUUAAUAAGAACCCCGACAUUUUUGAAUGCAAAUUCUGACUCUUUUGCACUUAUCAACAAUAUGAACCCACAUAAUUUUCAAAUAACAAAUCCGAAUUAUAUAACCGUAUGUCAAUUUUAACACAUCCGUUAUUAAAUAAUGUAACAAACCUGAAUUAUAUAACUGUUAGCCAAUUAAAUAAGGGCUUCUGGCACAUUGAGGCACUUUUUAAGUUUUUAUGAGCAUAUGGGGCACUUUGGUGGGAGUAGGCACUUUUUUAAGUUUUUUUCACUGUACAACAAAAAUCAAUACAAUUUUGCCCUCAGAUUUCCUUCAAACGCUUAACUAGAUUGGUUAGAAAAUAACUAGACAUGUUUUAAUUCUGGCCGUCAGAUUUAAAGUAGAAAACAGAUCUGAGAGUAGGUGGGAGAAAAUACUGCAAAAAAACAAAACUGAAAAAUAAAAGCUAAAUAUUCUCUCUGCAACCAUCGUCAUCCUUACUUGUCUCUCUUCUUCUUAGAUCUAAAAUCAAAUAAACAGAGCUUUUGAUUUUACAUAGUCAAUGAAGAAUUCGGGAUUAGAUAUUAAAAUCAGAGAAACAAAGAGUGUUAUAGUGUACUUUUCUCCUUCUUAAAAUUAUCUUUCCGAUUUAUGAAUGCUCAAGGAUGAGAAUCGUUUUAUCAAAUUCAAACCAUUAGCUCACUGGGUUUUUCCUCCAUCGAAAUCAUCACUGGCAUCGUCGCCAUCAUCGUUGUCUUACUCUCCCAUGGCUUUUAGUAUCACAUCGGUGACGACGUUUGAUUUGUAGUGGAACCGUGGUGGAUUAUGACGUCCUUUGCAAUUUGGUGUCCAAUAAUUGUUGUUUAUCAAUAACAUGUUGUUGUUCACAUUCUUUCUGCUAUCCAUGUGAAUGAACUUGCAUAUCUCAUUAAUAUUUUGUUAUGUGUUGCAAAUUAUACAUGUUAUCAAGUUUGAACACGCCUUUGUUCAUUGACUCCUUUGCGCUGACAUCUCUUUUCUAAUUCUACUAGUUUUGUGCCUUGGUCGCUUCACCACGAAGAUCAAAAAGUGAACAAGUUUUGGUUCUGCUUUAGAUUGGUCAUGAGGAUCUGAGUCUUGGAUUUAGAUUGUAACUGUUUCUUUCUUCUUGUCCACAUAAAUCUGUUCAUUUCAUAAUGUGACUGUCAUGGAGGUGUCUCUGCCUUUGCUUGGGAACAAAAAAAGAUCCUAAGCUUGAUGGUGGUGUGGUGAAGAAGAAGCUAGUGUGUAAACAAUGUAUAUAUAGAUGGCUAUUUAUGGAUGAUUAAUUGUGGAUUGUUGAAUUUAAUUAAAAUCUUAUUUACAAUAUAUCACAAGUUUGUUAAACAUUGCUAAGUAUAAUAUUGAAUUUAAUUAAAACCUUAUACAUAUUUGUUUUAAAUACAUGAAUUAAUCUACUAGUUUGUGAUUGCUAGUAACCAUUUAAAAUUGUCAUUUGGCCGUUUCUAGUCAAAUAAUAAUUUGACUUGGGUACAAUGUGCUCGUAAUUUAGUAUAUGUAAGAGUCAAAGCCAUGUGGACAAGCUAGUCGAAUGAACCAACGUGUAGACUCAAAUCUUAUAUUUAUUUUAAUACAAAGCUUUUGUUGAAUCAAGUCUUAUAUUGAUGGGAAGAUGAAUUGAAUCAUUAGUUCUUAGAUAUUUUUGGUUUCUGCAUUUGCACAAGCGUGAAGAGACAAUCUUGUUUAAGCAAUCUCUUUUGACCAUCCAUAUGUUCACAUCCAUCAUCUAGUAGGUUCAUCUAAACCCUAAACCCUUAAGUCCACGAAAGUAUAUCCACAAUACUGAAGUCCACAAUGUCUACAAAGCAACACUUCAUCUGAAUCUACAAAAAUUUUGGUAGUUUUUUGUGUUCCAUCUACUCUUUAUUUGCUAAGAUGUCCACUGAAGAUAGUAUAUGUGGACGAUGAGUUAUGGACGACAAAACAAAAUAUUCCAACAUAGCAAAUAAAGAUUGAGCCCAGAAAAUAAACCAUGAAAAAUAUUUAUUUAUUGAGCACAUAAAGAAUCUUAGACUUCUCUUUAAAAAAAUUUCCAUAAUAACAUGUCCAUCCCCAAAAAAAAUGACUAAUAAUGUUUACAACAAAAGAAAACUCCCAAAAUGAGAUUGCAAACAUAGCUCUUUUGGUUAGCAAAAAUGUAAAUUCCAAUGUACGUUGACUAAAUUUAAAAUACCUAAAAACUUGUAAUAUGUCAUUCCAUAACUCUUGUGGUGCCCAUAAUAAUGUGUCUCAUGAAAUUUCUUAAAUAGUUUGUGUAGAAUCAAAUCUUAGAUUUGUUUUAAUGCAAAGCUUGAAUUGUAUAAAGUCUUAUAUUGAUGGAAAUAUGAACUUGAAUUUUUAGUUCCUAGGUAUUUUUGUUUUUUACAUUUGAACUAGUGUGAAGAGACGAUCUCGUUUAAGCAAUAUCUUUUGACCAUCCAUAUGUUCACAUCCAUCAUCUAGUAGGUUCAUAUAGAGUGUGAUAAAGAUAUUGCUUAAACCCAAAACCCUAAAUCCUUAACCCUAAACCAUAAACCUUAAAUCCUAACCCAUAGAGACUAAGCCCUAAAUCCUAACCCAUAGAGACUAAACCCUAAACCCUAGAUACAAAACGCUGAACCCUAUACCCUGAACCAUAGAGAAUAAAUCCUAAACAAAUGAUAAUCAAACCCCUAAACGCUAAACCCUAAAUCCUAAACCAUAAACCAUAGAGACUAAACGCUAAAGCCUAUACAAUACACACUAAACCCUAAACCGUAAACCCUAAAUCCUAUAGAGCAAAACCCUAAACCCUAAAUCCUAAACCCUAAACCCUAAACCCUAAAUUCUAAACAAUAAACCCUAGACCCUAAAUCUUAAACCAUAAACCAUAAAACCUAAACCCUACAAUAAACACUAAAUACUAAACCCUAAAUUAACCCUAAACCCUAAACCUUAAUCCAUAGAGACGAAACCUAAACCCUAGACACAAAACACUGAACCCUUUACCCCUAAACCAUAAAAACUAAACCCUAAACCAUAAAUACUAAACCCUAGACCAUAAAUCUUAAACCCUAAACCCUAUACACUAAACACUUAACCCUAUACCCUAAACUCUAAAUCGUAAACCAUAAAUCCUACAAAGUAAACACUAAAACCCUAAAAAUUAAACCCUAAACCCUAAAACCUAAACACUAAAUCCUAAACCCAAGACAUUAAACUCUAAACUCUAGCUAAACCCUAAAUAGUAAAAUCUAAACCAUAAACACUAAACCAUACAUCAUAAAGACCUAAUCCUUAAACCCUAGACCCUAAUUCCUAAACCCUAAACAAAGAGUUGUGCAAAGUAGAGAGAAGAAAAUCAAUUAAGUAGUUAAUUAGUUAAAUGAAAUCAACAGUCAACAAUUGUUAGUAUCCUAAGUAUUUUCCAUCGUAACAAAGAGUUUAGAAGAGAUAUAAUUCUGGAUUUGAUAUGCUUCAUUUUAUUAUUGUUAGUUUUUCGAAACAAUUUUAACUAAUAAAUAUUCAAGUAUAUCCGUAGAGUUGUGACCACAUGGAUCUAUAUGGACCUUCUAUAUGUACCACACAUCCAACAAAUUUUGAUCAAGUGAUUGCUUUUUAUAUUCUAUUACUAGGCGGGAAUUUUUGUUUACCGACCUUUUGAACAUCACUCUUGUUGCAUUAAGGUCGUCGAUCGCACACAUAAUACAUUUACUUGUUCAGAGCAAAAUGGAUGAGAGUAAGUGUUCAAACAGUCUAAUUCAUAUUGAAAAUUUAGUUAAAAUAAAUUUAUUCCAAAACUAUGUAUACUUGAUUUAGCUUGAACUUAAAUUUUUUUAAUUUGACUAUGAUGGAACAUAAGAAGAAAUGUGAACGGCCACUUGUGGAUAGUCACCAAAUUCACGCACGCCGUCCAUUUUUCUAAGGCCAUAUGGUUGCUUGUAGUUGGACACAUCCAUCUUUUAUAGAACAUUUAGUCAUUCUUAAAGAUCAAACAUGUAAUAGUCAAUACAAAAUAGAUUGUCGAUGUCCAUGAUAAUACAUCCACUUAAACUUGUUUAUACGUAAAUCCUUCUAAUGAUGGUGGCUUUCAAAAUCUGACAAAAACCUUUCGGAUAAACCGAAUAAAAAAAAAAAGAAAAUUGAAAGAAAACUUUUAGCCAUGUUCUUGUGCAGAAUUUAUUUUUAUUAAAAAAAACCACCACUCACUCACCCAUUGACAUCUUUUACUGUGAGUUUCCAACAUCAAUUGCCACUUUGAUCAAGGGGCCAACAGAAGCAUGCACCUUCAAGAACAGCAGACACAAACAAAGAGAAAGUCUCUUUUGCUGCACCAAAGGAAACAACAAUGUCAAGAAAAUCAAACUUGGAUACAAUGAUAAAGACUAUAAACUAAGUUAAACACCACAUACGUGUUCAUAAGGAGGACAUGAAAGGAGCCAAAUCAUAGUUACAACGCAUCCAAUCGUUGUAAGAUAACCGCCAAUAUUCCAGAGCACAUGGAGAAAAGCUCCAAACGCAGACGCAACAAGAGCACAUCAUAAGGUCAGAUAAACCUACAAGUUCCACCAUAAGUACCACAACCAAUGAAUAACAUUCCUUUAUAAAAAUCAAAUUCCCUUUAACAGACCAUUUAUAUGUAAAUCGAACAUGACGAUCAACGAAAUAUCUCCACGGAAUCAUAAGCAAGUAAAAUAUUAACAAACUAAUUCAUGGAAAGACGCAAUUAGAAACCCUAGAAAUCUAUGGAGAGCACAAUCGCAACGAUUCGUUCAACAAAAGCCAAAUCCUAGAAAUUGAAAUGAAAUCUAGAAACAUAGAGCAAUCAAUACGAAGAAAACGAAAGAAUCUCAGUGAAUCGCAUAACAAGCGCCUCUAAUCUAGAAAUCGCGGUUAGAGUGCGACAUGAAUGCAUCGGCGACGAAGAAACUCACCCGUUUAAGAUGAUUUUGAAUGACGGGAGAAAUCUGACGGAAGUUUUUAAGAGAAUCAUAGCUUCAGCUUCUGCUACUAGGUUGAGAAUCGAAGAAGGAAGAGAACGCAUCCGUGAUUUUGUUUUUUUUUGCUUGACUUUGAGAAUCAAUUAAUGAAAAUAUUAGUGAAAAAGAAAGACUUUUCGUUGGCUUCGUAAAAAUUGAAGGAAAGAGAAGAGAAGAGAGUCAUAAUAAUGAUUUUAAUUUUUUUUAUGAAAUAUUUAGAGUAACCAAACAUAGUUUGAGGGUAUUCUGGUAAAAAAACUUAAAAAAGUGUCCACUACUCCUAAUGUGCCCCAUCAUGAGAUUGAGUUUCAUAAAAGUGCUCUAGAGAGCAAUAUUUCCAUUAAAUAAAAAGAAUAAUUCAGAUACAAAAGAACAGAUAAUUACGACUUUAUAAUCGAUAUUAACAAAUAAAAAAAAGCUAUUGAAAUUAGCAUACGGUUACAUAGUUCAGGUUUGAUAUUUGAAAAUUGUGUAGGUUCGGGUUAAUAAAUACAGGGGUUCAGAGCAGGUCCGGCUUAACACAUGUGUUACUAGAUGCUCACGUAAUGCUUGCGAAUCCUGAUGAUGUGGGUGUUUCUAGUGGUUUUGAUAUCUAUGAUCCAAGAAAUUGGGAUAUGCUUGAUUUGAAAAUGAUAGAAACUUUAGCAAUAAAUGGACCAAAAAGAGAUUUAUCUAUUGUAAAAGGUCCUAGAAACAAAGUUUCACGAUUAUGUAGUGAGUGCUUUGAAGGAUGAAAGAUUUUUGUUGUCCUCUGUUUUUCUUAGUUGUCGAAGAGUUUUUUAUUACCAUAGCUAAAAAAUAUAAUUUGUCUUUUAAGUUAAGAAUUAUUUUCAUUUUUAGGGUCCUCUUCUCAUUAUUAGGUUUGAGCCGCUCUGAUUUAGAGUCUGGAUUAAAAAAAGACACAUAAAAAUAGUUGGAGUUGAUUAUGGCUGUUUUCCCUGAGAAAUACUCUCAAAUUAAAAUCAUUUUUUUUGUCAAAAUAAAACCAAAUUUAUUUUGAGUUUGGAUGUUUGGUUUGUCAUUUUUUUUUUUAACACGUUUGGUUUGUCUUAUUUAGUUUGUUUUAUGCUCAUAAUUUUUUUUUUUUUCGGUGCUGAUCCUUACAUAUUUUCUAGAACAAAUAUAUUACCUGAUUUGUAAAGGUAAAUGUACCACGAACAUGUUUUGGGGAAAUUUCUGCUAUAUAGACAGGUACCUGUUCAGUAAAUAUCAUGAAAUUAUUUUUAAAAUAGUUGUAUAUAUAAGUGAUAAAUAAAUAAAUAAAAACAUGUUAAGUUGAUAUUAAAUAUUAAAAUAUUAGGUUAAUUACCACAUAGCUAAUUAGGCCGAGUCCUAUUCCUGAGGAGAUUCUUCCGAAGUUCAACCAGAUCACAUCCUUUUGUGUUCCAGACAUAAUGUAAAUGAUCAAUUAAUUCUUGGGUUUUAUGAUAAACAGUUUGUUAAUUUUCUAAGUAAUAAUAUUCUAAGUACAAACAAUAAGUUUGUGGUAAGGAAUAUUUCAAUACCUUAGCGAAAGCGAUGGAGAACCAACCAAUGAUGCAGAGGAGAUCGGAGACCCACAUUGUCUUUUAAUCAUGAAAAGCAAAAUUGUCAUUAAUAGCAAACAUGCACAUACGAAAAUUUUAGUCAGAAAAUGUAAAAUUUGAUUAUCAUAUCAUACUAGAAUAAUACUUAAGAAUAUGAAAGAGUGAAAAUGUAAUUAAAUUACUUUUCUUCUGCCAAGGAUGAUCGCCAUUUUACCGCUAAACAAAGCACCAAUUGCAGCUCCCAAAGUGGAGAAUGAAGCGAAUGCUGAAAACUGUUAAAAAUCUUAACUCAAAGAUAAAUUGCAGAAGUUGAGUUAAAUCUUUUUUUAUUGCGAUAUUAAUUCAAAUAUUAUAAAAACUAAAAAAAAAAAAAUAGUAUGUCAUCUAUCUUUUGAAUGUUAUUCAUACAAAAAAAAUGUUUUCGGUGUAUUUCAUUUUUCAUAUCUUAAAUAAAUAUUUAACUAUAUUCAAAACGUCUAUUAUUGUAGGUGUUCAUUAAUUCUUCCAUGAUAGGUAUAUAUGUACUAUUUCUUUGGAUGAGAUCACAACUCCAUAUAUAUGUACGCAUAUGUUGUUUUCGUAAGGUUACUAUUAUGAUAAGAACUUCGAAAAAAGAGUAAAAAUGGAUGUGACCCCCACAAGCCACGAGCCAACCAAGUAAAAUCACCUUCAUUGGGAUACCGACAAUAUAUAAUUUUCUUCAUCAGAAAUUAUUAUUUAUUUCAAUCUGAAUGAAUAAAGAAACAAAUAAUAUGGUUUUAAAAUAGAUGUGAAGUUUUAAUUCCUGUCUAAAUGGACAACACUGAUCACAUAUAAGUAUAUAACCAUCAAUGUGUCUUUUCGCCAUCUACCACUAUAUUUUUCUUUUUUACUUUUACGGUUACUAACUUAAUAUAAACACCUUGUAAAGACUUGGUCAAUUUAAUAUUAUGUUGAUGGAAAAAGAACAAAAGAGAGACAUACUUGCGCGAUUGUAAGACCCAAGUCCUUCAUAAUUCCUAUCUCAGCACCUGAAGUAUAACCAAGCUGCCAAACAAAAAACAAAACAAAAACGUUUUUUAGUUUUUUUACUUGUUUAAACCUUGAGAGGAGCUACCCUGAAUUACUUGUUUCUUAGUUUGUAAUAUAAAUGUAGUACUUCCAAAAAAACAAAAAUGCAGUAGCUUAGUUAAAUAGUAGUCGUCAUUGGUUCUUUAAUUUAGGUUAGAAAGACAAUCUUUACAUCCACUUUUCGCCGGAUCUUUCCCGGUAUCGCCGGGAAAUUUCCUAUAUGAAACUAUAGUUGUAUAUAGGAAUUGUAGAAGGCUCAAAAUAUAAGAGUUUUCUACCCGAUCUUGGGUUUAUUAUUACUCUCUAGGAAUAUAGUGAAUCUAAAUCUGCCCUUUAAUGGUUUUUUUUUUUAACUUUUUAACAUUUAUGUGUAGCUCAAAAAAAAAAAAGGCUCCGAAUGGAGAAAGCGUAUCGGGCGAAGCGGAUCAAGCGGAUCAGGCGUACCAAGCAGAACAAAAGCGGAUCAAGCAGAUCUGGCGGUACAAGUGCGGAUCAAGCGGUUUGUACGCUUUAAAAUAUGUGUUGAAUGGUGAAAGCGGAUCCGACAAUGCGGACGAAAUAUUUAUAUUGUAAAAAAUACUAAUUUUAAAUAAAAUAUUUUAUGGUAGCAUCCAUAAAACUAUUUACUCAUUUCAUUGGACGUCUACAAUAUAAAAUGAAAUCAUAGUACUUCAUAAAUUAAAAUUAUUAAUAAAUAUGUUUUAUGUAUGUUUCUAAUUAUAUUAUGCUAACAUUUUGAAUUAUAACUGAAAAUAUAUUUAUCAGUAUUAUUAAAUAUGUUUUCAGUAAAUUUAAAUGUAUUAGAUUAUAAUGAAAUACUUACAAUACGUACAUUAAUCCACAUAAUUUAUUUUUUAUUUGUGAACUAAAAUUUAAUCAAUAGAUAAAUUAUUAUUUAUACUAUUGUUAUAAUAUUUGUAUGAAUAAAUAAAUAGAAAGAAAAAUAAACACACUUGGGAAUCUCCUAAUUGCACCUAAUAUGGAGUGUAUAAUAUCUUAAUUAGUUGAAUACAUUACACUUACAAUUUUAAAUUAUAUAAAAUCUAAAUAUAAUUAAUUUUGGGUAUUUUGGAUACCUUUUCAGUUCUCGGUUUGGGUCAAGUUCGGUUCUAGUUCUUCGGAUAUAUAAAUUUAGGAUCCAUUCUUAUAUUGGAUUUGGUUCGAUUUUCAUUUUUUUAUCAGUUUGGUUUUGUAGUAUUUUGUCCAAGCCAAAGUAAUAUUUUUAAUUUGGAUUGUUUUAUUACCUAAAAUCAUUCUUUUAGUUUUAUUUUAAUUAAUAUAAAACCAAAUUCUCUAAUGUUUUGAGGUGAACGAAAAUAAUAAUUUUUAAAAAAGAAAAUGAUUAGUAUGGUUGUUUAUAGUAUUAUCAAGUGAAAGAAAUAUUAAAAUAGAGAAGAAAUGUUGAACCGUACAUGAAACACCUCAAAUUUGAGGAUAUCCUACUGUUACAGGCGGAUCACUAAUGUUACUCAUGUUUUUAGAAACGCCACAGUGAAAUCAAUAUUUUUUAAUUUUUUAAUAAAGAACCACAUAUUUGACUUUUUCUUUGGUGAAUGGAAGCAUAAUUGCGUUUCUGAUACACUAAAGGACGGUCUGCUACUUAUCUGUGCUCCCAUUCACAGCCAAAAUCUCAUGUUAUAUUACCUCAUCUGGUUGUAUUUUUUUUUUAAGGUAAAAUAUAUGUGGUUGUAGUUAUCCUUAUAAAGUUUUUUCUUUUCCGAUUAUUAUAAUCAGUUUACAAUAAAAAGAAAGAAAAAAGUUCUUUUUACUAUAUAAGAAAAAAAAAUAGCAAAGUAGAAUGAUGAGGAUAAGAAACUCACAGAGACACCAAAGGAGAAGGAGCCACACACAGCGACGAAAGUACCAAGGAUAACACAAGCAGUGAUACGACAAUCUGAAUCGUCGUUUUGGUUCUUGAGCUGCAAAAGCCUUUCCUCAAUGCUUCUUUCUUUCUCCUCCACCAUCAUUUUAACACAUGCAUGUAAUGAUAUUGAUACGGCACAAUUUCUGGUAAAUAAAACAGUGAGAGCUCGAGAAAGAGACAGAGUGAUAGAGAGGCAGAGAGGAGAGAGUGAAAGAGAGACUGCUCUGUUUGUCACAGUGGGAUUCUAAUAAAAGGAGGGACACAUGUUUUUUUUUUUUUUUUUUAAUGGUUUUAUGUUAUGUCACAGUGUCGUACGUUUUUUUUUCCUUUACCCAAUCAUAAUUAAUUAUUUUGUUUUCUAAUCCAAAAGACUGGAUAAUUCCAUUCCUUAAUUAGUUUUUGAUUCCUCUUCUAUAAUUUGGAAGGUUCAUGCCUUGUUUUUUCUGCUUUUAGUUGAAGGUUUCGUCCACUUUCGGUUUAGGUUAAAAUAAUUCAGCUUUGUGUUUUCAGUAUCUUUAGUUUCCUUUUCAUAAGGUUUAGAUUCCGGGGAUUUCUCGUUAUCCUCCGGCUAUGACUCUGGGGACAUUCAUGUCGUCCGCCGGCUUUGAUUCCCUCUUUUGGGCGUUUGUAUUCCACCUUCGUUCCAUAACAAGUUAAUCAAUAAAAAUUUUAGAUGACAAAAAAAAAAAAAUUAGUUUUUGAUUUUGUUUAUACUUGGUUUUUGAUUCAAUGGGGAAAAAAAUUUACGCAAGGGGAUGGAUUAAUUGGAAUGCACAUGUGUGAGAGGUUUUUUUUUUAAUCAAAGACAUUUUGGGUCAGAUCUUUAUCCAAUUAAGUUUUAUUGGUUUUAGGAAAUCAAAAUACAGCUAUUUUCAAUAAUUAUUCCAUUUUAUAACAUGUUAUAAAUAAUAUUUUUGUGUCAUUUUAUUUGAUUUUAAAUUUUCUAUUUCAAUUUUAUUUUGUUUUCUGUUUUGUAAUUAUUUGUAUCUUAAUUAGAAAAUAUUUUUAACUAUGGGGAUUUGUUUCUAGUUAUAUGUUAACAUGUUUUUAUUUUUUUAAGAAAAUUAGUGUAAUUUUUUAUCUCAUUAUUUUUAACUAAACUGUCUUAUAAAAAGAUAGUAUCUCCGUAAAAUCAAAUCAAAACAAAAUUAAAUCAAUUUCGAGUUGGUCUAAUGGUUAAAUCCUUGGAUUACUGAAAAAUAUGGUCUUUGGAGGUCAAGUGUUAGAUCUGUGUUGGGAAGGGUCUAUCCUCUAAAAAAUAGUUAAAUUAUAUGGUCUAUAUUCCGCGUUGAGAAAUAUAUGGACCAGUGUUCUAAAAUACGAUAUACGCUAGGCGUACGAUAGAGCACCGUAUAACGUAUAGACGUAUAUACGGCCGUUUAUGCGGAUACUAUACAGUGAAUAUUUUUUGUUAGAUAAAUAUUUAUAUAUAUAAUAACAAUAAAACAUAAAUAUAGUAACAUGAUGAAUACUAUACAUGAAUACAAAUUUAAAAUUUUCAACUUUACGAAAUAUUUUUAAAAUUUUAAAUAACUAAUAAGCAAAAAAAUAAUAGAAAAGAAUGACAAUAAAGUUAUCUUAUAGUUAGUUAUUAUGAUUAAUUUUUUGAGAGCCAAACUAAUAAUUUUGUUAAAUCAUUUUUCUAAACAUUAAUAAAAUGACAUACGGAUUUCACCGUAUAUACACCGUAUAAUCGUUGUAUAUAGAUCAUAUAGCUUUCACCGUAUUAAACAACUGUAUAGCUAUAAUACAAUACGGCUUCCCAGCGUACAUCGUAUAUACGGCCGUACAGACCAUAUUUUAGAACACUACGGACCCAUAGGCCAUGAACCUCCUAGGCAUAAAAAAUUAAUAUUAAUUUGGAAGUAACUUUUUCUCAAAAUGAAAAAAAAAAAAAAAAACAAAAACAAACCUUGAAAAUCCUCUGAGUAAAAAAUGAAAAUAAAAUUUUUAAGAAAUGCUCAUAAAACCACUUUUCAAAAAUACCGUUAAAUUUCUCGUGAAUUCGGGACAUGUAUAAUUUUCAUUAAUUAAAAUUUUUGAAAAUUUUUAUGAGUAUUUUCAUUUUUGACACAUAGGUUAACCAAGUUUCUAGUUCUUUCCGUCACAUUCAUCGUGAUAACAAACUACCCGUUGAUAGUACACGACCAUAUGAUGCAAUUUUGCACCUACGUGCAUGUCGUUAUGACCUUAUACUUUUUUUUGGCGGUAUACACAAUAUGACCUUAGCUUAUACAUAGCCCUGGGGUAUUGCAAAAGAACAACCAAAAGCAGCGUGUCAUAUCUCAAGCCACGGACAUUUCAGCUAACCUCCCCUCAUCACGUGUAACACAAGCGUAUAAAUCAUUUAGGGUGUUACUAUAUGGUACGUACUCACUUACCCUAGUUUUACCUUUCAUUCUAUAUAUUCACAAUAAACUCAUCACACACACACAAAAAAAAAACUCUUCACAUCAGUUUAAGAUUUAACGAUUUUUUAUUAGUUAAACGCAACAUAAUUCGACUUAAUACACAUCAGUACAUCACUAAGGACCAAGCACACAUCACACAUUUCACACAAAGUCAAUGUAUUUUAUAAUCAAUCCCUUUUCUUAAAUAUGUUGAGUACAUACCUACUUUUUUUUUUUUUUUUUUUUUAACAAAUCCCAAAAUGGGCCUGGGCUUAAGCCUUACAAACCAUUCAACGGGUACAAAAAGCGAUACAGUUUCCGAAGACUAUUCCGGUGGUCGGGAUCUUAUCCCGGCGGAGGCCGGAAGCGGAAAAUGACCUAAUUAAACCGGCAAAUACAAGGUUCAGAGAUUCGCGUCUCUAUCGACAAGAGCAAGAUCAGUGAAUGGAGUAUUUGGAUCCCUUCACUGAGCCGAAACCGCCAACGAGCCAAGACCCUCUCCAAAACUCCCGGAAUAGGACCACUCCGACAGACCGGAUCCCCAUCUCUGAUUUCUCAACCUAGCAAACCAAAGAACAGACAGAUCUAACCCCCAACCACCGAGAACAAUUAACAACGAAACCAACGCCGAGAUAACAUUCAGAUCCGGUCCGGUGAGAAUGACCUGCGGAGGCUGACAAGAACGGAGGCUCAAACCCAUCCUUCAUCAACCCAGAAACCACGAGCAGCCAACUCCGGAUCUAUUAACCGCUAAACACCAAGACAAACGACGCACCCGCCACCCUGUCAGCAACUUCCGCCGCAAGCCGAUGCACUUCCACGAACCGGUGAGCCGCGAGCAGCUUCACACAGUUCCUCCAGCGUCCUUGACCAGAAGAACCACCGGCGAAGCCUCUCGAAACCGUCAAAAAAUACCUCGACCGCAUCGCCACCAGGAAGUCCGUCGUCGGCAGAACGCAAACUCACCCCCGUCUUCCAAUUUGCACGGCCCACCCUGCAAUUAAGCUCAAGAAACCCAGAAAAAAACCUAGAUCUAAAACUUUGCUUUUGUCUUCAAGAGAGAGAGAAGCGUCAAUAUCGCUUAUUAAUGCAAUGUACUUACGUUGUAUAUUAACUGUAAUGUACUUAUUAAUGCAAUGUACUUACGUUGUAUAUUAACUGUACAUUUGAUAUGGUUUAAUUGAAUCGCAUAACUUUGGUUCCAUACUAAUUUUCUAAUUUCUAUUCUAUCUGAGAAUCGGUUACGUAAUCCUGUAACAGGAACCUUUCGUUCUUCUAUACAUAAUUACACACAUAUGCAACAACUAACUACCAUUCAAACAAUAAUUAAUCCCUUUAUUUGGUUUUGAUCAUAUAAAGAUGGUUACUUUAAAAACAAAUUAUCUCUUUUGACUAGAGGUGAUAGGUCGACUGAAAAAAGUACCUUGAAAAUU
rnacentral:lncRNA from 1 species